rnacentral:lncRNA from 1 species
AUGUUGUUUGGGAUGCUGCUAUAGCUAUUGCAUUGAAGGACUACCGUAUGCUUGUUUUGAGAGAUCAUGCUCCAAAGGAGUGGUCCGAUAAGGAGAAAAUGAAGACGUGGAGUGUGAUCAGCUUACGUUGUCCUCAGAUUAUAGCUAACCUUCCUAAGGAGAUGGAGUGUUCAGGACUUUCCUUUUGCCAUAUGGCCUAUGAUGGCGCCGUUAAAAUUCCUCUCAAUUUCUUCAAACAAACCGAAGGCCUCAAAGCCUUAGAUUUGGUCGGAAUGCAGUUUCCAUCCCUCCCUGAAUCAAUUAUUCACCUUGCAGACCUUCGCAUGUUGUGUCUAAAAAGAUGUGCAGUUGAUAACAUAACUAUCCUUGGAGAGCUCAAGAAUUUAGAAAUCCUUGACCUUGCUGCGUCAGGUAUCAAAGAACUACCUAAGGAGAUGGCACAAUUGACUCAAUUAAGGUUGUUAGAUUUGCGUGGGUGUAGAGAACUCAAAAUCAUCCCACCAAAUGUCUUAUCAGGUUUGUCUAAAUUAGAAGAAUUAUAUAUGAGUAGGAGCUUUGUUGAAUGGGAAAAGGGAGGAGUAGUUGAAAAUGAGAGGAAAAAUGCAAGCCUUGAUGAGUUAAACAAUUUGCCUUGUCUAACUACUUUAUAUGUUCAUAUUCUUGAUGUCCAAAUGAUACCAAAACACCGGUUUGUUGAAACAUUGGACAGAUUCAGGAUUUUCGUAGGUAAUUAUGGAAUGUAUGAUUGUUGCAAUAAUUAUGAAUCUCCGAAAGCAUUGAAGCUCAUGUUAUAUACAAACAUUGAUUUGGACAAUGGGAUGAAAAAGUUGUUGAUAAAGACAGAAGAUUUGUGCCUAGAGGGACUUGAAGGCGUCAAGAAUGUACUUGUGGAGUUAAAUAAUGGGAAAGAUCUUCCAAAUUUAAAGAGACUUCAUGUCAAAAAUGGUAGGCAUGUCCAAUAUAUUAAAACGAACAAAAUUGGAUUUUCUGAAUUAUGCUUCAUCACACUUGAAAAUCUACCGCAACUCGUUAGCUUUUGUUCUCCAGACGAAAGGUGUUCUACUAAGCCCUUACUACUUUUAAAUAAACAGGUAUUUGUUUGGAUUUACUUAUAUUUUCUUAUACAACUUUUACUUAUAUGCCCAUUAAUACUUCUACUAAUUGAAAUAAAUAAUAGUGUAAUGAUUUUUCCAGACUUCAAAAAUAAAUUUCAAAUCUAAAACAAACAAAAAUUUAAUUUUUAAUCCAAACCGAUUGAAAGUAUAAAGUCAAUUCAAUAAUCUAAAUUUAAACCCAACAAUUUUUUUUUUAAAAUUCUGAAAAUAAAAUUUGAGCCCACAAAUCGAACUAAAAUUAUCUUUAAAAUAAAAAAUUAUAUUUUCGUUACAUACUAUCUUUCCCUAUCGAAAAAGAAUUGUGUGUAAAUAUGUGCAAUUUGUUUUCCCUCACCUGGAAAGCUUGUAAUUGUGUUCCAUUAACACCAAAAUAAUAUGGCACAACCAGACAUGUCAUUGGAUUACGAAUUUGAGAAGCUUGAUCAUCAAAGGAUGCGGCAAGUUGGAGCAUCUGCUAUCACCCUCUCUUGCUAGAAGUCUGGUGCAGCUCCAAUGCUUUGAGAUAGAGGAUUGCAAUUGCUUAAGGGACAUAAUACUUACAGAGGAAAUUGAAGAAGAAAGGAAAGAUGUGAUUUGUUUCCCUCGAUUAAACUCCCUGCGUAUAGAUCGUCUUCCAAACCUCAUCUUCUUCAGCUCAGGAAACCACAAUAUUGAGUUCCCAUUGUUGAAAAAGCUAGAGAUUAAGCGUUGCCCCAAGUUAAUAGAUUCAUCAGUCAGAAUAGUAAUCAGGCCGGCAUGCACGCUCUCUUCAGUGAGAAGGUGAUUUAUUUCAGUAGUCUUACACUCUUACAUAAAUCUGUUGAUUUGUCCUUGUUUUUUUUCUGCCUUCAUUAUUUGAGCUAACCUUAUUAUGGGCAUGGAUUAUAUAUAUAUAUGAAUAGGUUGCAGUUCCUAGCUUGGAAGACAUGACUAUCUGGGACUUGAGUAAUGUGAAGAUGAUAUUUUAUAAUGACCUACCACCAGGUUCCUUUAAAAAUCUUCGAAAAAUAAAUGUUUGGGGAUGUGGGAGUUUGAAAAAUCUAUUUCCAGCAUCAAUAGCCAAAGAUCUUCCACAACUUGAACAUUUAAGUAUCACUGAUUGUGGAGUUGAGGAGAUUGUAUCGAAAGGGGAUGGAGUGGAGGAGCAGCCUGUGAGGUUUGAGUUUCCGCAAGUGUCUUACCUUGGGGUUACAAGGGUAGAAAAGCUCAAAUGUUUCUAUGAGGGGCAACAUACAAUAGUCUGGCCGAUGUUGAAAAAAUUGAAAACAGAUGGUUCUGCUUUGCUAAAGAUAGUGGCAUCGGAACAUCUUAGAUUAAUCCAAGGAAAUGAGAAGCCAGUAUUGUUGGGUGAAGAGGUAUGUAUAUCAUUACAACUAUAUUUCUUUUUAUGAUUUAAACCACUGCCACAAGCAUCUCAAGUUGAAAUAUGCCACGAUAAUGCAUUUCUAAUUAUUAUAUUUUGUUUGAUUUGAUUUUUUUUUUCGUAUUUUUGAAUUUUCUAUAUAUAUAUUUUAAAUUUUUUGUUACAUUUAUAAAUAUUUUUUCAAUUUUUAAAAACAAGACUAAACAAACAUAAUAGGUAAAUAUUGAGUGUUAGUCUUGACUUUUUAGAAUGUAAUUUAAUUUGAUAAAAUGUAUAAAUGUUGAGGGUUAAAUUUAUUACUAUGAAAAAAAGAAGAAGCUACAUUAUCAUCCCGUUAGGGACUUUGCAGCAUAGCAAUUAAGAUAUUCAAUUUCUCUAACAACAAUGAUUAAAUUGAAAUUUUAUUUAUUUUUAAGUGACCAAAAUGAAAAUAUUUUAACACUUAAGUGACUAUAUAUGUAAUUUACCCUGCAUUUAAGUAGUGGGCCGAAACUAAAUAGAACGUUUACUUUGCUAAAAAAAUCGCCACUCAACAAAAAGUCAAAAUUUUAAAAGUUAAUUACACUAGACAUCUCAAACUAUAACAUUCAUUUUAAAUUAGUCCCAAAAUUUAAAAUAUUCUAAUUAUAUUCUUAAACUAUUGAGGUUAUAUCAAUUAGGUCUUUCUGUUAUUAAAUUCGUUAAUUUAACCAUCAUAUUAUAUCAGUGUAAUAUUUUAAAACCUUGGUGUUUUAUCUACACUGUUCUGCUUAUUUUUUUUAUCAUAGAAAUAUAUAUAUAUAUAACAAUGGUUGUUUAUCUAUUUUAAUCUUGAUUUGCUACUUCGGCUUUCAUGUUGUGUAAUUUUUAUCAGUUUUUAUUCUCAAGAUAUUGUGAUUUAAUAUUGAUUUUGUUGGGAUUUAAUCAUCAAAAUCAAACACUAAAAUUGUAAAUCUUUUGUUUGUUUGUUUGUUUUAAAGCAUAUACAUCAACAUUGAGCCUAACUUGUAUAUAUUUAAUUGGUUUCCAAGGUCAUUCCCAAAUUAGAGGAACUUGAGUUACGAAUUUUUGGUGAUAUGGACCAAUUUCCACCAGACUUGUUUCAACAUGUUAAAGUUUUUGCAGUGAGGGGUGCCUCUCGAUUUUUUUCAUUUCCUCCCCUCCGAAGAUUCUACAAUCUGGAAAGACUUGAGGUUUCUCAUUUUGAUUUCAAACAUGUAGUCCCUUGUAAAGGAGGUGCCGGGACUCUCCCACCAAUUAGAAAUCUGAAAUUGGAUUCUGCCAGAAAUCUUAAGCAUAUUUGGAGGAAAGGUUCGGAGCUUGACCAUAUUCUUUCUAAUCUUCAAACACUCACAGUUCAUAAUUGUGAUAAUUGGAUAAAUAUUAGAGUCUUCUCAUCAUCUUUACAAAAUCUCAGAAUUUUGAAUGUGUCACUUUGUAAAAUGAUGACAAACUUAGUUACACCCUCAGUACUUAAGAAUCUUGUGCAAUUAACGACAAUGAUCGUAAGAGGGUGCACUAAAAUGACAGAAAUAGUGGGAAACGAGGGAGACUGUCAUCAGACAAUAGUUGUUAGUGAAUUGAAAUGUUUACAACUAUGCAAUAUGAAGAGCCUCACAAGCUUUUGUCCACGGAAUUACAACUUCGAGUUUCCUUGUUUGGAAGAAUUAGUUGUGGAACGGUGUCCUAGGUUAAAGAUCUUUUCUGAGGGAGUUUUAAGCACCCCACAAUUACAGAGAAUAAAACAGUCGCGUUUCAGUAACAAAUGGAGUUGGAGAAGUGACCUUAAUACCACCAUACAACAGCUCUACACAGAAAAGGUACAAAGUUAAUAAGUUCAUAAUGCUAGCUAGAUUCCUCGUGUCCUAAUACAAUUAAUUUUAUUACUACUUCAAUAACCAUUGAAGAUUGUUAAUCGUUAUUUUGUUAUUGUCUGCAUUUUCUAUUUAUGAUUGCUAUCUAGUGGAUUAAUAUCAGAUUAAUUUUUAGGAUGGACUCUAUGAUUUCAACAUCUCGGACACAUUGCCGGAGUCGAUCGAAAUAUGGACUAGAAACCCUCAAGAUAUUUUGGACUUCAAAAUCCUUAGCAGCCUGCAGUUUUAUAAAUGUAGCAGCUUGAAGUACAUAUUUACUCCGUCUAUGCUUUUGAGCCUCAAUCAACUACACUGGCUAGAAGUAAAAGAAUGCAGUUCAAUGGAACAAGUGGUUAGGGAGGAGGAGGAAGCAAUGACACAUAAAUUUACAUUUCUUUCGCUACUCUCCGUAACAAUUGAGUCGUGUUCCAACUUGACAAAUUUCCAUUUGGGAAGUCAAGCUCUUGAAUUUCCAAUGCUGAGUAAUAUCACGAUAGCUGAGUGUCCAAAAAUGACUGCAUUUUCUUCCUCAGUUUCAAGAGAGAGUGGUGAUGCAAGUGAAAGCGUGGUUGGCGAAGGGGGCAUCUAUGAUAACACUGCAACUUUUUUCAGCAAUAAGGUAAGUUUGGUAUUCAAUAUUUAUCUGCACAACUUAUUUCACAUUUUCUUUUGAUUUGAUCAACAUGAGUGUGUCUGGUCUAUAUAUACAUAAAAAUAGAAUAUAAUAAAAUCCAUAAAAAAUAUUAAUAAAUAAGAUUAAAUUUAAAAAAAAACUGGAGUUUAAAGUAUAAAUAAAUAUAUAAAAGAAGAAUUGAAGGAAAAACUUAAAGUGAAAUACUAAAAAACAAUAAGAAUUUAAGAGAAGUUUUAAAUUAAAUAGUAAUAGACAAUAAAUAAUAAAAUAAUAAUAGAAAAAAGAAACCUAAUCUUCCUUUUUUCUAAUUUGUGGGUGUAUAAGAAGGAUAUAAUUGUGGAAGACCUUCUCAGAGGUCAUUUGAGAUCAAAGGACAAGAAGCAUGAAAACAAAUGGUGAGGAGUUUGAAGAAGAAAGAACCAGAUAGAGGUGCUCAUGAGCCGGGCCGGGCCGGGCCAAGAAAAAAUUUCGGCUCGGGUCCUAGGCCCGGGCCCGACCUGGCCCGAAAUAUGGGCCUAAAAUUUUGCCCAAGCCCGGCCCGAGAAGAAAUUCAUAAGCCCGGCCCUGUCCGUUUUUUAAAUAAAUACCAAAAAUUUAUUUUAAAAAUUAAAAAAAUAUUUUAAAAAUAUAUUAAAAUUUAAAAAAUUUAAAAGAAGUAUUUUAAAAGUUUUUAAAAUAAAAAAUUUUAAAAAAUAAAUAUAUUUAUUAUAUUCGGGCCGGGCCAGGGCCGGGCCAAAAAAGUGGUGCCCGAGGCCCGGCCCGUUUUUUAAUCGGGCCUCAUUUUUUUCCCAAGCCCAUAUUUCGGGCCUAUAUUUUUGUCCAAACCCUCCCAUAUUUUGGGUGGGCCGUCUGGCCGGGUCAGGCCGCCCGGCCCAUGAGCACCUCUAGAACCAAAUAUAUAGAAGAGAAUUGAAGUGAGAGAGUGGAUGCAUAUGGGUUUUAUUUAAAGAUUUAAUGCUUUUUUUUUAAUUUCCUAUAUUGAAAAAAUCAUUGAAAGAAAAAAAAGUUUAAUAUAAUUAUUUAAAUUUACUUGUCGAGUUUUUAUAAAAGUAACUCAAAUUUUUGAUUAAUUAUGAAAAUGACUCAAUUUAAAAAUUAUGUACAUAAAUUAUUCGAUUUCUAUAGUGUUUGUUGGUGCCGCCAGACACAAUGGCGGCACCGACCUACCAUCAUCGACCAAUGAUUGUAUUUUAUUUAAAAAAAUAAUAGUUUCUUGCUAGUGUUGUUUGAAAAAUUGGCGAUAUCAAACUGAAGUGUAAUUAUAUAAAAUAUUCAUGGACUUAACGAAGUAAUUACCUUUUUUUAAUUAGCGGAAAAAGGGGUCUUCCGGUGAAUAUGGGGCACCAAAUUAAAUGAUUUUUUAUCUUUUGAUCUAUUUGCAUGUUAGGUCUAUCCCCUUUUGAAAUUAAAUUUAAAUAACCCUUAAGAAAUAUAAGAAUAACAAAAAUAAAUCAUUCUCAUUUAUUUUAUUUUAUUUUAAAAAAAUAAACUUAAAAAAUUAUAUAAAAUUUUUAUUUAAAUUACCCAAAUGUAUCCCUCACACAACUUCCUCAAGUUUAUCUAAAUUCAAGCAUUUUCAAUUCAUUCCCUAGCAUAUUUAAAUUUAGAUAAACUUAAGGAAAUUUUUUGAGGAAUAUAUUUGGGUAAUUUGAAUAAGAUUUUAUAUAAUUUUUUAAGUAUUUUUUUUCAAAAAAAUGAAAAUGGUUUAAUUUUGUUAUUCUUAUAUUUUUUAAGUGCUAUUUAAAUCUAACUUCAAAAGAGGACAAACGUAACAUGCAAAUAGGUCAAAUGUUGAAAAACAUUUAAUCCCUUUUUCAACCAAUCUAAAAAUGUUAACCGCUUCAAAAGAUCUUGCACGUUUUAUAUAGUCACAUUCAGUGUGGUGCCAUCAAUUUAUUAGGCAAAACCACUACAAUCUUUUUUAAAAAGCAAUCAUUGGCUGAUGAUGGAGGCCAAGGCAGUAAGCACUAUAGAUAUCAAGUCAUUUACGUUUAAGUUGGAUCAUUUUCGUAAUUAACCAAGAACUUUUGGUUACUUUUAACUGUCUAGUUGAUGUGUGAAUAUUAACCUUUAGAUCAGUUUAUAAAUCUUCAUACUCAUCUACUCAUUUUUAUUGUCUUUCAAAGUAAAGAAGGAAGAGUGAUACUACCUUAUAAUGAUAUUUAUGUCAACAGGUUGUCAUUCCUAGUUUGGAGUGUCUGGAUUUGUCCUCCAUCAACAUUCAUAAGAUAUGGCAUCACUCAUCCUCCCCAUCUAUCGGAUACCUAAAUUCCUUGCAGGUGAAGAGGUGUCACAAUUUGAAAUACCUGUUCCCGUCUUUCUUAGCAAAAGAUCUUGUGCAACUCCGACGCCUUCGAAUUUUGGACUGUAAUAUGAUGGAACAAGUAAUAUUCACGGAUGGAUUGGUUGAAAAUUACUUUGAAUUUCACUGUUUGGCAUAUUUAACACUAAGAAAUUGUCCAUUGCUAAAAACAUUCAUCUCUAAAUGUGUCCCCGGAGAUGAACCUCAAAUUGGCCAACAUGAACAGGCAAGUAACUUGGAGGUUCAAAACUCAUCUCUCCUCAAUGAAAAGGUAAUUUCUUCAAGGAUCCUCCUUUUAAUUUAUGUUACUUCGAUUGAUUUUAUUCAUUCGAAGUUCUUUCUUUUUCAUACAUAUUUCAGUUAUUAACCUAAUGAAAUGAUUUAUUAGGUUGUUUUCCCUAGUUUGAAGAAGCUUCAGAUUAAAAAUUGUGAUUCGUUAGAAGAAAUUAUUGAGCUGGAAGGACUCAUUGCUGAUGAGUCACAGUCAACAUCAGCUGCUCAAUCUAUUGUGGCUGAAACAGUGACGACCAAGUUUGUAUUUCCCAAACUAAUAAACCUUGGAUUGGAUAAGGUGCCAAGAUUGAAAAGUUUCUACUCUAGGAUGCAUACCACCCAGUGGCCUUCAUUGAAACAAAUGAGCAUUAUUGAAUGCCCAAAAGUACAGAUAUUUACUCGACAAUGUCCAGUGAGUCAGGUUGGAACCUCAAUCCAACAACCCUUGUUUUGCGUCAACGAGGUAAGCUCACUAGCAGUUUUCAUAUUCCAUGUUCAUUACUGGAGAUUACUUAUAAAAUGCCUUUUAAAUUUAUGAGAAAGAAAAUGGAAAUUAUAUUCAUUCUGUAGUCUAGUUCUUACGAAUUGAAAACUCUUUGAUCGAUGUUUAAUAUAUUCGUUGCCAUCCAGGACACUUUCCCUGUAUUGGAAGAACUAACACUGAAGACGAAUGAUUUGGUAAAGGGGAUAUGUGAUGAACAACUCUCAUUGCAGUGUUUCCAAAACCUUAAACUUCUUAACCUUCAUUGCUUUCGUAAGAGGUCAACCACACUUCCAUAUUGGUUCAUUCGGUCACUACCAAAGCUUCAGAAGCUUGUUAUAAAGAAUGCUUCCAUUUCUGAAAUAGUCCGGUCUGAAGGACUUAGUGACGAGGAAAGGCAUACAUCAGCAUUCUAUCAGCUAAAGGAAUUAAGUUUGACUCAACUUCCAGGGUUAACGUUAAAGACUUUCGAACCAUCAUUGCUGUCUUUCAAAAAUCUAACAACACUGGAAGUUUCAAGAUGCCAUGGGUUCAUCAAUUUAAUCGCAUGCUCAACAGCCAAGUGCCUGACGCUACUGGAAAGAUUGAGCAUAGAUGAUUGUGAGAUGAUAGAGGAAAUCAUAGCGUGUGAGGCUGAAGAAAUACAAGGCGGCAUUGUAUUUCCCAAACUGAAAUAUUUGCAACUAAGUUGUCUGCCAUGUCUAGCAAGCUUUUCCUUGGCCCAUCACUCGUUGGAAUUCCCAGUCUUGCUAAUGGUGAUGGUGACAAAGUGCCCCCAAAUGAGGAAUUUCUGCCAAGGGGAUUUAAGCACACCAAGGCUGGAACAAAUGCACUUAACAAGAGAUGAGGAAGGUGAACUGCAGUGGGAAGGCGACCUGAACACUACCAUAAAACAUAUGUUCGAUGAAAUGGUAGAAAUCAUUUAAAGGAUUUAAAUUCAUGUGUUUUUACAUACAUACAUAGUUAAUUGAACAAUUCUUGGUUUGUUAUGAUCAUGCACAGAAUGUGCAAAAUUCUGAGGUGACGGAGGUUACUGAUCAGUUGCCCAAGCUGGAAUAAGGAAAUAUGUUUGGGUGCUUAUGCGAAAAGCUCAAUUUCGUUUGAAUUGAAAACAAAUGGUAAUUGACUCUUCUAUUUUCAUCAUGGCUUAACUAAUGCUUUAUAAAGUGACCAUAGAGACGCCCUUUUCAUUGUAGGUUGAGUUGCUCUACUGAAGUAGGAGGCUGCAACUUUUGGUAAAAUGUGAAAGGUUAUUUCAGUUUUUGUAAAACUACUAUUUGAACUGUUCCAUUUCACAUUAUACCCUCAAAAUUGAACUUCAAGUGCAUCAUGCAUGGCAUUGGGCUACAAACAUGUAAACUUUUACUAGUAAGGUUGACCCCUGUUUUAAGAAUUUGUUCAAUAUCAAAAAGAUGUGUUUUUAUUUUUAUUUUUAAUUUGAAAAAAGAAAAUCUUUGAAAUAAAAAAUAGUAUGUUUUAUAUAAUUAUUUGAAGUUACUCUCACAUUAUUUUUACCCAUUCAAAGCUGGCAAGUCUUUUAUGUACAAAAUGGUAUAGCUCUGCAAUUUGGAAUAACAUUUUGGUCACCUCCAUGUGAAGUGAAAAAGAAUUAAGAAUGUCACACAAUUAUUAUUUUUCCCUCCAUACCCCUAUGCCACCAAAGAAAGUUGAAUUAUUAAGGCACAAAAGUACUAAGGAGUAGGAGCUAGAAAAAGAGGGGCAUGAAAAUAAAGAGACUUACAUUUAUUAUUUGCAUAAUACAAAAUUAGUCUUUAAUAUUUACACCAACAAAAUUAAUGAGUUAACAAGUGUCUUAUAGGAAUAUAAUAAAAUAUUAAAAAAUAAAUAUUUUUAAAAAAAGAUAUAUGUCAAUUUUUUAAAAUUACUUGUGAAUUAAAAAUAAUAUAUUAUCGGCGUACGAAAUACUCACCUUUUUAAUUAAGAUUUAAAAAUAAAAAACAGUUAGUAAAAUGAAUGGAUUGCAAAUUGAGAAAUUUGAUAUUGAAUAUUAAAAUUUUCUUAAAAAGAAGACAUACGAAAGUUAGUGACUUAUUUUAUUUAAUUUUAAUUUUUAAAUUUAUGCAUUUUAUUAUGAAUUUUUAUUCUUUGUGUACUCUGUAAAAUUUGUCUGAAAUUUCCAAUUUUCAAUUUCUCACUUCAACCAUAAUUGUCUUCUAAAGAACUUUAUAAGGGAAGCUAUGCCACUCUAUUUAAGGGCUGGUUUUGGAGAUUAAAGUAUAAUUUUAUAAUUAUAUUAAUUUAAUUUUUUAAAAUUUUAAAAACGUGUAAAUAAAAAAUUUACUAUUUUCGGGGGGUCAAGGCUAUUUCUUCCCCUUGUCUUUGCCCUGCUAGUAGUUUAUUAACACGGCCUUAUACGGUAAUACUCUUACCGAAUAUAAAGCCUUGUUUAAAUGGAGAUAUUCAUAAGAGGAAAAAUACCAAAUAAUGCAAGCUCGCCCAUUCCUGGUCAUUAUGACCCCCUUUAAUUGUGAGGAGGCACCUCUUCUCUCGAAGUUACGAGGCUAUUUUGCCAAGUUCUUUAGAGAGAGUUGUCUCACGCCCCUAGGUAUUCUUUACCUACCCACUUGUGUCGGUUUUGGGUACAAGUACCCUUUUGUUGAAGGACGUUCAAGCCUUUCCUGGGAGCAUAGCAUAGGUUACUUCAAUGCCGUAGCCUAGUACUCGAACAUUGGCUUGGGACAUUUUCUCUACCCCUUCUUAUCCUGAAAAAGCAGGGGCACCUUACAUCCUUAAACCAAUAACCAUUUCGGCUAACCUAGCUAUACAUCAUAUAAUUAAAAAGAUAAUAAGUUAAAAAAAAUUUACUCAGUGUUUGAAUUUUUAUUGAUUGGAAUAUAAUACGUUAUAUAACAACAAUGAAGAUGCAUAUGAUUUUGACUUCCACUUACAAUUUCAUAAAAUAAUUUAUCAAUUCAAAAUUAUCCAAAUACAAAUUCAAAAUAUUUAAAUCAAAAUUAAUUUGGAGCUCCUCACUCAGGCUUCUACUUUUGUGCAUUGAUAAUUCAGUGGCAGCACUUCUCCCUUGCCUUAAUUGUUGAAAAUUGAAUAAAAAUUGUACCUUUCAUUUCCUUCCCUCAGACAAGUUGUUCAUUGUUGCUCCCACCCUUCAGUCUUCUCUAAAAUAAUGUAGGAAUCCCAAGUCACUAUAAUUAGGUGAUGAGGAUGGUACUUACUUUUUUUUUUUUUCCGAAAUCAGGGUAUUCAUUGUUAAUAACGGUGAUUGAUUUUUUUGUUGCGAGUUUUUACAAGAGCUUACGUAAGAGUUUAAUAUGGUUCAAUAAUUAUUUUAUAAUUUUUUAAAGUUAAAUAAUCAAAAUAUAAAUCAAUUAACAAUUUAGAGAGCUUACAUGUAGUUUACCCAAAAACAUAUCGAUAUGAUCCCCCAUUGGAGUCCGAAGCCAAAGCUCACAAUUUGAGUUAACAUUUGACAUUUGGGGUUACAAAUUGAGAAUUAAUUGAAAUAGAUAACAAUUAGCAAUUAAAUAAAAAAAUUAUAUUCCAUAUACUGUAGUAUUGAAUAUAUGUUUACUUAAUUAAAGGUCUCUUUUUUAUUUAAUUAAUUUCUUCAACGCGAAUUUAGAAAAUUAUUAUGGUAUGAGAUUAUAAGAAUGGUUUUUGGAACUAAAUCAGUGAGUGAAGUUGUAAAAUUACUGAUUUUAGAUUUAAUUACUUCAAUCAUUGGUCUAGUUUCGAUUAAAAAAAAUUGUAAAAAAAUUUAUUCAUGAUUUAGCCCAUAAAUUAUAUAUAUUCUCUCACUUUAGUCUAGUUUAGACUUGCCUAUGGCCCGGCUCAAAUGGCCACCUGAAAAGUGAGAUAAUUUAGGCAAAUAUAUAUGCCCAAAAAAUUGGUCUAGAUAAAAAAAUAAUGCUCAUUUCGUUAUUAUAUUGAUACUAUUUUGUUGUUAUUAUUUGAAUAAUGUAUAACUCUUGCUUUAUUAUUAAUUUUGCUACUAUUUUAGAGGUAUUUGCUUAAUAAGUUGUACUUAUCUUAGUGUUAUUUAAGUAUUUUUUUAUUUUUAUUUGUUAAAAAACAUUUAUUUCAAUUUUUUUAGUGUAUUUGAUGUAUUAUUUUUUAAAAUUUUAUUUUUAUAUUAAAAAAUAUAAAAAAAUUAAUACAGGCUGAUUAAGCUGAAUUUGGGUUUUAACAUUUUAAUCUAAGUUGGGCUUGGAUAAAAUUUUAAACCUAUUUUUCGAGCUUAACUGAGCUCGGGCUGAAUUUGGGUUUUUUUUAUACCUUAAAUCUAAAAUUUUAAUUAAUUAAUUUAAUAAAAUAGAUUAAAAUAAGGGUUUCGACUCAAAUUAUGAUGAAUUGAGCCAUUGAACUUGAGAAAUUAAAAUGUGAACAGCAAUGGGCUCUUCAAAAACCCUUACCCUAGCCCAAGAAGAUCAUCCCCAAAAAAUUUCAACUUACAACCCUAAUUUGCCUCUCAACUACACUAUAAAUCCUAUCUUCAACAAGAAUCAUGAAGCAUUUGUAUCUCCUAAAAAACCCUUCUUUCGUCUAAGGUUUCUCUUUAGAAAUUUUCUCUUCGCAGAGAGUAAUCUUUGCCUUCAUUUUUUUUUUCUCUUUAUUUUCCCAUUUUCAAUCUGGGGUUUUUUCCAAAAUGAAUCCAAUCUUUACACUAAAUGUGAACCCUAAUCCCAUUUAUUUUAUCUGGGUUUUGAAUAAAAUCUGCACUUGUUGUAUACUUAUGAAAUAAAGGAACCAUUUUUAAUGCUUUGUUUCUUAACAAGAGUGCAGAAAUAAAAAGCUUGAUUUUUUCUUCUUUUAAAACAAAGAAACCAAGGAUUAAGCAGCGGCCAGACAACCGUAGCGAUGGUAUCCACGGAUGAAGGGCUAAUUUCUUUUUUAAUCCCUUUUUUGUCUACUGAUUCCAUCUCACAUUUCGUUUUUUAAAUUUUUAGGGUUCAUCACUUUUGAAUUGAUUGAAAAAGCUUUAAUCAAAGUUCAAACUUCGGUUAAAAAAUUGGUUUUUUUUAUAUGAUUUUACCUUUUUCAAUGCUUUUUUAUGUUUUUUCAAUUUGUAAAAUCAAAUGAGAAACAAUCUAAAAACGAACGACAUUAAUCUAUCAAUCAAUCAAACUGAUUUUGAUUUUGAUUUGUUGUAAUUUUUACGAUAUAUUAUCAGAUAUAUUUUACAUCUUAAAAAUGGAAAAUCGUAAAAGUCAAAUUUUUUUAAUAGGUUAACUUUUGAUAUUAGUCCCUAUAUUUUGUUAAAAUUAUGAAUUUAGUCAUUAUAUUUUUUAAAUUUUAAUAUUUCAGUCUUUAUCAAAUGAUAAUUUUUAAAAGUUAAAGUUUUGUUAUUUUAAAAUAUAUUACGUCAAAUAUAUUAUCAUAUGUUCAAUGUUAUAUCGACUUCUUAUUUUCACAUAUUCCUUAUCAAAAAUUUAAUUAAUAGAUUAGCAACUGUUAUUUGAGUCGAAUCUGAAAUUUCAAAAAUUGCGAAUUAAAAUAUCUAAUUAAAAUAUAUGGAUUAAAUCUACAAUUACAAUACAUAACUAGCAAUUGAAUUUAAACAAUCAAGAUUUAACAGUAACUAUUUGUGUAAAGACUAAAUUUGAGUUCCCAUUGUUGAAAGAGCUAAAGAUUGAGCGUUGCCCCAGGUUAAUAGAAUUCAUUAGUCAGAAUAGUAAUCAGUCCGGCAUGCACGCUCUCUUCAGUGAGAAGGUGAUUUAUUUCAGUAGUCUUACACUCUUGCAUAAAUCUGUUGAUUUGUCCUUGUUUUUUUUUUCUGCCUUCAUUAUUUGAGCUAACCUUAUUAUGGGCAUGGAUUAUAUAUAUAUAUAUAUGAAUAGGUUGCAGUUCCUAGCUUGGAAGACAUGGAGAUUAACUUGAGUAAUGUGAAGAUGAUAUUUUAUAAUGACCUAGCACCAGGUUCCUUUAAAAAUCUUCGAAAAAUAAAUGUUUGGGGAUGUGGGAGUUUGAAAAAUCUAUUUCCAGCAUCAAUAGCCAAAGAUCUUCCACAACUUGAACAUUUAAGCAUCACUGAUUGUGGAGUUGAGGAGAUUGUAUCGAAAGGGGAUGGAGUGGAGGAGCAGCCUGUGAGGUUUGAGUUUCCGCAAGUGUCUUACCUUGGGGUUACAGGGGUAGAAAAGCUCAAAUGCUUCUAUGAAGGGCAACAUACAAUAGUCUGGCCGAUGUUGAAAAAAUUGAAAACAGAUGGUUCUGCUUUGCUAAAGAUAGUGGCAUGGGAACAUCUUAGAUUAAUCCAAGGAAAUGAGGAGCCAGUUUUGUUGGGUGAAGAGGUAUGUAUAUCAUUACAACUAUAUUUCUUUUUAUGAUCUAAACCACUGCCACAAGCAUCUCAAGUUGAAAUAUGCCACGAUAAUGCAUUUCUAAUUAUUAUAUUUUGUUUGAUUUGAUUUUUUUUUGUAUUUUUGAAUUUUUAAUAUAUAUUUUAAAUUUUUUAUUACAUUUAUAAUUAUUUUUUCAAUUUUUAAAAACAAGACUGAACAAACAUAAUAGGUAAAUAUUGAGUGUUAAUCUUGACUUUUUAGAAUGUAGUUCAAUUUGAUAAAAUGUAUAAAUGUUGAGGGUUAAAUUUAUUAUUAUGCAAAAAAAAAAAUGCUACAUUAGCAUCCCAUUAGGGACUUUGCAGCAUAGCAAUUAAAAUAUUCAAUUUCUCUAACAACAGUGAUUAAAUUAAAAUUUUAUUUGUUUUUAAGUGACCAAAAUGAAAAUAUUUUAACACUUAAGUGACUAUAUAUGUAAUUUACCCUGCAUUUAAUUAGUGGGUCGAAACUAAAUAGAACGUUUACUUUGCUAAAAAAAACCGCCACCCAAUAAAAAGUUAAAAUUUUGAAAGUUAAUUACACUAGACAUCUCAAACUAUAACCUUCAUUUUAAAUUAGUCUUAAAAUUUAAAAUAUUCUAAUUACAUUCUUAAACUAUUGAGGUUAUAUCAAUUAGGUCUUUCUAUUAUUAAAUUCGUUAAUUUAACCAUCAAAUUAUAUCAGUGUAAUAUUUUAAAACCUUGGUGUUUUAUCUACAUUGUUCUGCUUAUAUUUUUUAUCAUAGAAAUAUAUAUAUAUAUAUAUAUAUAUAACAAUGGUUAUUUGUCUAUUUUAAUCUAGAUUUGCUACUUCGGCUUUCAUGUUGUGUAAUUUUUAUCAGUUUUUAUUCUCAAGGUAUUGUGAUUUAAUCAUCAAAAUCAAACACUAAAACUGUAAAUCUUUUGUUUGUUUGUUUGUUUAAAGCAUAUACAUCAACAUUGAGCCUAACUUGUUUAUAUUUAAUUGGUUUCCAAGGUCAUUCCCAAAUUAGAGGAACUUGAGUUAAGAACUUCCGGUGAUAUGGACCAAUUUCCACCAGACUUGUUUCAACAUAUUAAAGUUUUUGCACUGAGUGGUGGCUCUCCAUUUUCUUUAUUUCCUUUCGUCCGAAGAUUCUACAAUCUGGAAAGACUUGAGUUUUCUUAUUUUGAUUUCAAACAUAUAGUCCCUUGUAAAGGAGAUGCCGGGACUCUCCCACCAAUUAGAAAUCUGAAAUUGGUUUCUGCCAGAAAUCUUAAGCAUAUUUGGAGGAAAGAUUCGGAGCUUGACCAUAUUCUUUCUAAUCUUCAAACACUCACAGUUGAGGAUUGUGAUGAUUGGAUAAAUAUUAGAGUCUUCUCAUCAUCUUUACAAAAUCUCACAAUUUUGAAUGUGUCAUUUUGUGAAAUGAUGACAAACUUAGUUACACCCUCAGUACUUAAGAAUCUUGUGCAAUUAACGACAAUAAAGGUAGAAAACUGCACUAAAAUGACAGAAAUAGUGGGAAACGAGGGAGAAUGUCAUCAGACAAUAGUUGUUAGUAAAUUGAAAUGUUUACACCUAUGCAAUUUGAAGCGCCUCACAAGCUUUUGUCCAUGGUAUUACAACUUCGAGUUUCCUUGUUUGGCAGAAUUAGUUGUGGAACAUUGUCCUUGGUUAAAGAUCUUUUCUGAGGGAGUUUUAAGCACCCCACAAUUACAGAGAAUAAAACGGUCGCGUUACGAUGAGAAAUGGAGUUGGACAAGUGACCUUAAUACCACCAUACAACAGCUCUACACAGAAAAGGUACAAAGUUAAUAAGUUCAUAAUGCUAGCUAGAUUCCUCGUGUCCUAAUACAAUUAAUUUUAUUACUACUUCAAUAACCAUUGAAGAGUGUUAAUCGUUAGUUUGUUAUUGUCUGCAUUUUCUAUUUAUGAUUGCUAUCUAGUGGAAUAAUAUCAGAUUAAUUUUUAGGAUGGACUCUAUUUCCCAUAUGAUUUCAACAUCUCUGACACAUUUCCGGAGUCGAUGGAAAUAUGGACUAGAAACCCUCAAGAAAUUUUAGGCUUCAAAAACCUUAGCAGCAUGCAGUUUUAAAAAUGUAGCAGCUUGAAGUGCAUAUUUACUCCGUCUUUGCUUUUGAGCCUCAAUCAACUACAAUGGCUAGAAGUAAAAGAAUGCAGUUCAAUGGUGUUAAGGAUAAGAAACAGUUAGUUCAAAGCAGUUAGUCAGUUAGUAUCAGUUAGUAUCAGUUAGCUGUUAUGGUUAGCAGUUAAUAAAUUUGUGUAUUAAAUACCCAGUUGUAAGUAUGCUUAUGAUAUGAGAAAAUCAAUAAGAAUCAGUACGUAUUUUCCAAAUCUUAACAUGGUAUCAAGAGCCAUGGUCUAAAGUUUUUUCUUCUUCUUCUCUCCCGUUCUUUCUAUUCUUGCUGUUGUUCAUGGCCACCGAUGGUUCUGACACUCCUCGACAUUCCAGCAAUUCUGGUGCUGCAGUACAUCCAUCAGAUUCUGGAGGUCUUCUGUCAUCUGGAGUUCAUUACUUCUCCAAACAUGAUACAAUUAAACUUACUGAAAAGAAUUUUCUUUUGUGGAAACAUCAGUUGAUGUUAAUCUUGGAAGGGUAUGGCCUUGAAGGUUUUGUCUUGGGCACCACACUUCCUCCUCCGACGUUCAUAACCGAUUCUAAUGGCCAAUUGGUAGCAAAUUCAGCAUUUAUGGUUCAUAACAAGCAGGAUAAAUUUCUUGCUUCCUGGCUUUUGUCCACAAUCCCUGAUGAAGUUUUAGUUCAUUUAACAGCAGCUAAGACCAGUUCUGGAAUUUGGAUGGCUGUUGACAAACGCCUUGGUGCCAAAUCAAGUGCCAAACUUUCUAGCAUAAGACAUACGUGGGAUCUUGUUGAGUUACCUGAAGGUCGCCAGGCUGUUGGUUGUAAAUGGAUUUUUAAAGUUAAGAGACAUGCAAACGGAGACAUAGCUCGCUACAAGGGACGGCUAGUCGUUAAAGGGUAUUUACAAGAGGCUGGUGUUGAUUUUUGGCAGACUUUCAGUCCUGUGGUUAAGCCAACAAUGAUCCGAAUUGUCUUAUCUCUUGCGGUAUCACGUGGCUGGUCUCUUCGACAGGUGGACAUCAAUAAUGCCUUUUUAAAUGGGGAUUUGCAGGAGGAAAUUUACAUGACGCAACCGCCUGGUUUUGAGCAACAGUCCAAGGAUAGUCGUCCCCUUGUCUGUCGGUUGCGAAAGGCGUUGUAUGGCCUCAAACAAGCCCCUCGUGCUUGGUUUCAUAAGCUAAGGGAGUUCUUGCUAGCUGCAACUUUUGUUCCUUCUAAAGCUGACAGCUCUCUCUUUAUUCGACGAUCGGGAGGGCACCUUCUCUAUGUACUAGUCUACGUUGAUGAUAUUAUCAUCACAGGUACUGACUUUGUUGCUAUUGAUAGGUUUGUCAAAGAUCUGGAUAUUCACUUCUCCUUGAAAGAUUUGGGACGACUGAAUUAUUUUCUUGGUAUCGAAGUUACGUCAACAUUGCAUGGUGUCUCUUUGAGUCAGAAGAAAUACAUCUUGGAGUUACUUCAGAAAGCUUCCAUGGACAAGUCCAAGGCUUCUCCUACUCCAAUGAUGACCACUUGUAGAAUGUCUGCUCAUGAAGGGACUCCGAUGGAAGAUGAACACUUGUUCAGGAGCAUUGUCGGUGCCUUACAAUAUGUGGUCAUAACUAGACCAGACAUUGCUUUCUCGGUUAACAAGGUGUGUCAAUAUAUGCAUAAACCCUUAGAUGUUCAUUUCAAGGCUGUCAAACGCAUUCUAAGGUACCUACAAGGGAUACUUGAUUACGGAUUACAGUUUACGCGUCACUCAAAACUUGUUCUUGAGGCAUAUUCAGAUGCAAGUUGGGGUUCCGAUGUUGGAGCUCCAAGAAGCAACAAGUGGUCUCAAGGUCGACUGUGGAAGCUGAGUAUCGAAGCUUGGCUCAUGUCACUGCUGAAAUAACUUGGAUUCGAUCACUGUUGACGGAACUAGGGGUGACACUUCCCAGUAAAGAUCUAGUUUGGUGUGAUAGCUCAGCUGCCAUUGCUGUAGCAAACAAUCCAAUCAUGCAUUCCAAGUUUAAACAUGUGGACUAGACUUGUUCUUUGUAAGAGAAAAAGUGGUAGAUGGUUCGCUGCAAGUUGGUCAUGUUUCUGGACAAGAUCAGGUUGCUGACAUGCUGACAAAACCUUUGGCUGUAGGGUUAUUUGACAAGUUUAGAAAAAGACUUGGAGUGGCCUCCAUAGCAGAGGAUAUUAUGCAAAAGCAAGGAACGUCGAGAAGCAGGAGCCAUGUUAAGGAUAAGAAACAGUUAGUUCAAAGCAGUUAGUCAGUUAGUAUCAGUUAGUAUCAGUUAGCUGUUAUGGUUAGUGUUGACACCAUUUUUUGGAUGGAAAAACGGGGUCGACUUAGGUUUUGAAAAAUGAAACGGGAGUCGCCACCAAUCCUUUUUUAUGAGGUGUGAUUGGAUCACCUCAAAAUUGGUUGUUUUUAAUAAACGGUUUGAUUUUAUUAAAACAACAAGUUUGGUCCACGAAAUUCAGAAAAACGGGUUCGGGAGUCGGUUACGCACGAGGAAGGAUUAGCACCCUCGAUACGCCCAAAAUUGGUACCUAGUUGAUUAGUUAAUGUCUUAAUGUCAAAAAUUAAAAACUUUGAAGAAUUUUAAAAUACGAUCCUCUGUUUUAAAAGACUUAUAUGAAACAAAUUGCUUGUCUAAAAACUCAUAUGAUAAAAUUUAAAAAGGAUAUCCAAUUGUUCGAGUCAGAUGAGGAAAUCGCAGUCCAAUGCGUUAGGGCACAAUUUCUCAACGUUCCGAACAUUGAAUAUUGCCUUAGUUAUUUUUAAGAAAAAUCCUCAUCUCGAAAAAAAAACAACGUGUCACAUCCAAUACGUUAGAACACAACAUUUUGAAUUCCCGAUAAUGAGCUUUUAUUCAUGUUUUAAAGAAGUAAUCUCGAUUAUUUAGAUUCAACAAAGAAAAGUGGAACCCAAUACGUUAGGGCUCGAUUCUCUCGAAGAUCCCAAAUACCGAGUAUUACUUAUAUUUUUAAAAUUUCUUUCUUGAAAUCUAAAUAAAAAUGGGUGUAAUGAAAUUAUGAUGAUAAUGUAAGUAAAAUAAUCACGAGCAAAACAAUAGAAGGGGCACAUAAAAAAAACAAUUAUACAUGAAAUAAUGAGUAAAUAAAAAGAACUAAAGCAUUUCAUAAAAAUAAUGAUGAGCAAAUAAAUAAAUAUCAAAUAAAACAAUCGAGAACAAUAUAAAUUACAAAAAAUACAUUAUUUAUGUAUGUAUAUCUAUGUAUAUAUAUAAAUUAUAAAGCCUUAAAAAUAAGUAUGUAUAUUUAAAAUAUGUGGGUAUACAUAUAUAAAGUAUAAAAUACAAAUAAUAUAUAAGUAAGUAUAUAUAUAUUAAAGUAUAAAAAUAUAAGUACGUAUAUAUAAAAUUUAAAUAUGUAGAUAUAUAUAUAUAUAUAUAUAUAUAUAUAUGUUAGUAUGAAUAUAUAUAACAAAAUCUAAAAAUGGUAUAAGUGGGUAAAUAAUAAUAAUAAGGAAAGUAAUAAUAAUAAAUGCAAUAACAACAACAACAACAACAACAACAACAACAACAACAAUAAUAAUAAUAAUAAUAAUAAUAAUAAUAAUAAUAAUAAUAAUAAUAAUAAUAAUAAUAAAGGAUUAGAUUGAAAGCAAAACAAAGUCCCAGGGGAGAAAUCAGAAUAAAAUAAAGAAAAAGAUUAAUUUGGAAUGCGCGUGAAAAAAGGAGGACCAAAAAAAGAAAUAUCCCAUCCCUCCCAACGCAUCACUUUACGUAGGACUAAAAUGAAACAACAAUAGAACUAUACGGCUAAAUUAAAAAUAAAGAAAAGUAGGACAGAUGGGCAAAUUGCAACGCGCUGCAAACGUGGAGGGACCGCGCGCGCAAAUAGCCCUUUUAAAGAAAACACGCGGAUCCUCCCCUCAGGGUCGGGUCACCGCGCGGGUCUAACGCAAAACGGCGCCGUUUUGGGCGCUUGAAGCCAGCCUCAAAACGACGUCGUUUUGCAGGCUUAUAUAACCUUUUUUGAACAAAAAAAAAAUCAUUUCAUCCCUUGUUUUUUUUAAAAAAACUCCCAACUCUCUCUCAACUUCUCUUCCCCUUUUCUAUGUACUGCCCAGAAUUCGGCCAACGCCGCCGCCGCGCCGGCCACCGUACACGGUGGCCGAAAAAAUCAAAAAGGUAUAUUUUUUAUUUUUUUGUUUUUUCUUUUACUUAUAAACAUUCUAAAAUAUACUUUAAAAAAUAAAAAUAAAAUAAUGAAAGAAAAAAAGAACGAAGAGGAAACACACGGCUCAACCUUUUGAAGUUUCUGUUUUGCUUCCUUUUUUAUUUUCAAUUUUUUUUCAAAGGGGGAACCCCUUACAAGGCUUCCAUUCUCGGCUUUUAUAGCCGAUUUACAUGAGUUUUUUAAAUCUAUCCUAUGCUUGUCAUUUCUGCCUUGAUUUAUUUGUUUGCAGGCAUCGGCGCAAGUGGAUGGAGAUGACAGUGGCAGUUGGCGGUGGUUGGGAUUAGGUGUGGCGUCAGAAGCAAGUGGCGGCCAGGAGCUGGUGGUGGUAGUUGGGGUUGGUGGCUGCGGCGGCUGAAGCUAGGGUUAGGGGCUAGGGUUUCUUUUGUUGUUUAGGUUGUGGGCUUGUUGGGUAUUUGGGCUUGGUUGGUAUUUCGGUUAGGCUAUUGGGUUUAUUUUUGGGUCUGCUAUUGGGCUAUUCGGGUUUGGGUUUCUGUUUAGGUGGGUUGUUGGGUCAAAAUGGGCCUGUACAGCUGCCCCUCUUUGCUUGUUGUCGUGUAACGAUAAAAGAGCAAAGACUAAGAAAGGCCCAUUUUGCCCGGCCUCGCCAAUUCGUGACUUGUUUUGGUGCUUCUCUUCUUCAAGUAGUUUCACUCCAAUCCAAUGUCUCGUGUUGCUUCAAUCCACUCCACUGCAACUUCAGAGAGAUACGACUUGUAGCUUCAAUCCACUCUGUUGUAACUUUAGGGGGAUGAGAUUCGUGGUAAGAUUCGUUAUUGUUGAUCUGCUUCACUACUGCUUAGGGGGACAGAAUUACAGUCUUCGAUCUAUUCCACUGCCAACUAGAGAGAUAAAAUCAUCGGCUUCAAUGUACUCCACUGUAGUCAUAGGGAGGUAAAAUCUGCCAUCUUUGAUCUUCAAUCUAUUCCACUGCCAACUAGGGAGAUAGAAUUAUCGGCUUCAAUGUACUCCACUGUAGUCACCGUGAGGUAAAAUCUGCCAUCCUCGAUCUUCUCCACUACUGCUUAGGGAGAUAAGAUAUGUAAUCUUCAAUCUAUUCCACUACUGUCCAGAGAGAUAGAAUUAUCAGCUUCAAUGUACUCCACUAUAGUCACAGUGAGGUAAAAUCUGCCAUUACUCGACCUGCUCCACUACUGCUUAGGGAGAAAGAUCUGAAAUCUUCAAUCUAUUCCACUGCCAACCAGGGAGGUAGAAUUAUCGGCUUCUGUCUGCUCCACUGCAACUUCAAGGAGAUAAGACUAGAUGCGAUAUGCUCUAUUGUAGCUUCAGAGAGAAGAUCUGUGAUUUUCAAUCUGUUUAACUGCAAUGUCGGGGAAAUAAGAUUCGCCGUUGUAGCUUCAAUCUGUUCCACUGUAUCGCCUAGGAGUAAAAUUCACUGUUGUGGCUUCAAUCUUUUAAAUUGCAAUGUUGGGGAAGCGAGAUUCGCCGUUGUGACUUCAAUCUGUUCCUCUGCAUCGCCUGGAAGUAAGAUUCACCAUUGUGGCUUCAAUCUUUUAAAUUGCAAUGUCGGGGAAGUGAGAUUCACCGUUGUGACUUCAAUCUGUUCCGCUGCAUCGCCUGAGAAGUAAGAUUCGUUGCUGUGGCUUCAAUCUUUUAAAUUGCAAACUAUGGUUUCUUCGAUCUGCUUCGUUGUCAGCACAGGAAGGCAAGGCUACUGUCUUCAUCUGCUUCGCUGCCAGCAUAGGAAGGCAUGAUCUGCUAUCUUCAGUCUACUUCACUGUCAGUACAGAAAGGCAAGGCUUGUGUCUUCGAUCUGCUUCGCUUGCCAGUACAGGAAGGCAUGAUCUGCUAUCUUUAACCAGUUCCACUGCAACCGAUGAAGGCAAGGUUUUAUUUUCGAUCUGCUUCGUUGUUAAUGCAGGAAGGCAAGAUCUGCUUCUUUAACCAGCUCCACUGCAACCAAUGAAGGCAAGGCUUUGUUUUCGAUCUGCUUCGCUGUUAAUACAGGAAGGCAAGAUCUACUUCUUUAACCAGCUCCAUUGCAACCAAUAAAGGCAAGGCUUGUGUCUUCGACCUGCUUCGCUGUCAAUGCAGGAAGGCAAGAUCUGCUAUCUUCAGUCUACUUCACUGUCAGUACAGAAAGGUAAGGCUUGUGUCUUCGAUCUGCUUCACUUACCAGUACAGGAAGGCAUGAUCUGCUAUCUUUAACCAGUUCCACUGCAACCGAUGAAGGCAAGGUUUUGUUUUCGAUCUGCUUCGUUGUUAAUGCAGGAAGGCAAGAUCUGCUUCUUUAACCAGCUCCACUGCAACCAAUGAAGGCAAGGCUUUGUUUUCGAUCUGCUUCGCUGUUAAUGCAGGAAGGCAAGAUCUACUUCUUUAACCAGCUCCAUUGCAACCAAUGAAGGCAAGGCUUGUGUCUUCGACCUGCUUCGCUGUCAAUGCAGGAAGGCAAGAUCUGUUGUCUUCACUGAUCUGUUCUCUAGGGAACAAUACAUGUAUGUUCUAUUUUAUGAACUUAUUUAUGCCUAGUGACUAGGAUGACAUGAUCAGAAUGAAUCAAAUGCUCCUAACUAGAUGUGUAUAAAUGUAAAAUGUCAUGAAAAUGAUUCAUUAAUGCUUAGGUUAUCAUCACGCAAAAGCAUAUUAAGGCUUUAUCAUUGACGUGCUACAACGCCUUCUUGCUCGGCUGGCGUAAUCCAAAGAAAGACUUAAUCUGAUUGCCCCCACUGUGAACGUCAAAGUUCAAUCCACUGGGACAUAAAAUUUGUACCAUUAAUUUCCCACUGUAACCCAAGGGUAGAAAGAUAUGGCUUUUCUCAAUCUUCUCCUAUCGCGAUUCAAGGAUACAGAAUGUGAAGCUCUUUUGUCCUUUACCCCAUUCCCAAGGUGUCAUACCAAAUGCUCAUGCACAAUGAAGAAUUUUCUUCUCCCAGAAGACCUUUUCUUACCACUCGGUAAUCAUUGCUUGUUUGUUGAUUGAAGCUUUGUCACCAACACGACAUCUUGUCAUUUUGUUCAAUCAAUGUUUGGACAACAAAAUCUGAAAAGAGAGCCUUUAACUUAGACUCUUCCUUCUUAGAUAUUUCAACCUUUAAACUUGGUGUUUUUUAAAUAAUAGUCCUGUUUUGGGUUCCUAUAUUAUUUAGAAACUUCUAGAGUAAUAUGCAAAACUUUCAUUGUGAAUGUAUCAUCAUUCCAAUACAACAUGCUUGCAAGAAGAAUAUAUCGAUGGAUAAAAUAGAAUUGAUUUGAGAGCAAGCUCAAAAUGAAUAAAUUAUCAAGGAUAAAAAGAAUAAAAGAGGAAUUGAUUGGAACAUGUAUCUUGAAAAAGAAUGAAGUAUUCCAAGAACAACAAAUUCAAUAUAUAAAUACUAUGAAUGUUAGGUGCCCCAGAUAUCGCAGCUUGAACUUCUCUGUACAAACUUUCUGAAGACUUUCCUGAGUUUGACAUGUGUUUAGGAGAUCUACAGGACUCUGUCGAUGCCCCAAGAUGUCGCCUUACCCUUUCAGGUAUAGUAAGAUCACCACAUGCCCCGAUCUGAUCACUUCAUGCCCUAUUCUGAUCAAUAUUUGAGCCGCCCUUCAGGUUUUCAACUCAAAUCCCCUUUGGCCUAAGGUGCCCUUUGCGGGUUUUCCCCUUAGCCUCUUCAUUUUUACUUUUUCAUUUUUUUCAUUUUUCAUCUUCUUUUUUUUUUGACUCAAAGUGCCAUUUGCAAGUUUUCACCUUGGUCAUUUCUUCUUCUUUAAACGAAGUGUUUCUUAACUGGAUCCGAGUUUAUAGGAUUGGCAAUCUCACUCAGGAUCAGUGCUCUUCUGAAAAUGGUCUUCUUUACAACAUAGGGACAUUCCUGGUUUGGCAUUCAUUUCCCUUUAGAAUCCUUUCGUUAAGGAAGAAUUUUUUCAACAUCCAGCCCUCUCGUGGAAUUCUCUAAGACGAGCCUGUUUAUUAUGGGCUCAUAUCAUUUCUCUAUGGUACAUUCGACCCUGAUGAAUAGCUUUUAACCCUUUUCCUAGGGUCAACUGAUCACAUUGCGAUUGGAUCCCUCCAACAAGCAAUAAGGGGAUUUUAAUAGGUAGAUACCUUAAUCCUGUAGACCAAAAAGAGAGGUGUUGCCCCAGUACAGAUGUUCGACAAGUAAUGAGGGCAAAUGGUAAUUUCUCAUGCCAGUCCUUGUUCACCUCUAGGCAAUUCGGUGACGAAACGUGGUGUCUGCUCCUGAAUUGAUUUCAGACCUCAGUUAUCGUGCUAUCAUUUAAGUUCAAUGCAUUUUCCAAUACCAUCCUCUCUGAAAUUCUAUAUCGGUAUAGGAUAACCUUGAUUCAUGAAGUAGCCUCUCAAAGAUGAAGCAACGCCCAUUAGAAGUCUUCGAUAAUGGUGAUGUCCAUGCCCCAUUUUGCUCAAAAUUUGAGUCGCCCUUUUUCAGGUUUUCAACUCAGAUCCACCUUUGGUCAAAGCUCCCUUUGCGGGUUUUCGCCUUGACCUCUCCUUUUUCUUCUCGUUUUUUUCUCCCUUUUUUUUGACUUCGAUUUUUUUUUAUUUUUGAUUUUUGAUUUUUGAUUUUGAUUUUUUGUUUUGUUUUUUUUCCCUUUUUUUUGAGUCUGAACUCAUGAGAUCAGGAAAGUUAUGGUCAUGCUUUUCGACCAGAAUCAAUGUUAUUCUAAAGUCUUCCACAUAAGAUCUUCCACUUUCUACUUGUAUGUGAAAAACCUUAUUAGGUACCAGAUUUUUUUCAUAGAGCCCUUUUGGGACGCAACUACGACAAAAACUUUGGAUCUUCCUCUUUAAUCAGGAUAAAAUCCAACAACAUCUUGAAAGGAUGAAAACUCGACUUCAAAUGGGCAAAGCUAUGCUGACUCAACGAGAGAGGCAUUGCCCCGACAAAGAAUUGCAUCGUUCGCACUGUAAAUUUCUGACAUCGUGUUGUUGUGCAGGUUUUAUUAUAAGAAUCGAGGCAUACCCUGGUAUGAUCCUACAAAGACAUCUUUGAACUCUAGAGGUAACUCAACAAGGUUUUGCUUCGUCUCUGUGGUUAGGUCAAUUCUAGUCUUCACCAAGUUCACAAAUUCUAAUGAUUCCUUGGGAGGUAGGACCUGUUUAUCCUCUUGUUCUACCAUCCUUAACAAGUCCGGAGAUAGGCUACAAUCUAUGUCAUCUUCAAAGUCGUGAGAUCCCUCUAAACACAUGUCUCGCUCAAAAGGAGAUUCUAAGUCUGUAGCAGUGCUAUUGGGCUAUUCGGGUUUGGGUUUCUGUUUAGGUGGGUUGUUGGGUUGUUGGGUCAAAAUGGGCCUGUACAGUUAGCAGUUAAUAAAUUUGUGUAUUAAAUACCCAGUUGUAAGUAUGCUUAUGAUAUGAGAAAAUCAAUAAGAAUCAGUACGUAUUUUCCAAAUCUUAACAAAUGGAACAAGUAGCUAGGGAGGAGGAGGAAGCAAUGACACAUAAAUUUACAUUUCUUUCGCUACAGUUCGUAACAAUUGAGUCGUGUUCCAACUUGACAAAUUUCCAUUUGGGAAGUCAAGCUCUUGAAUUUCCAGAGCUGAGUGAUAUCACGAUAGCUAAGUGUCCAAAAAUGACUGCAUUUUCUUCCUCAGUUUCAAGAGAGAGUGGUGAUGCAAGUGAAGGGGGCAUCUAUGAUAACACUGUAACUUUUUUCAGCAAUAAGGUAAGUUUGGUAUUCAAUAUUUAUCUGUACAACUUAUUUCACAUUUUCUUUUGAUUUGAUCAACAUGAGUGUGUCUGGUCUAUAUAUACAUACUAGUGCUACACCUUGUCAAAAUUUAAUAUAAUAAAAUCCAUAAAAAUAUUAAUAAAUAAGAUAAUAUUUAAAAAAUAAUUGGAGUUUAAAGUAUAAAUAAAUAUAUAAAAUAAGAUUUGAAGGAAAAACUUGAAGUGUAUAAGAAGGAGAGAAUUGUGGAAGACCUUCACAAAGGUCAUUUGAGAUCAAAGGAGAAGAAGCAUGAAAACAAAAGGUGAGGAGUUUGAAGAAGAAAGAACCAAAUAUAUAGAGGAGAAUUGAAGUGAGAGAGUGGAUGCAUAUGGGUUUUAUUUAAAGAUUUAUUGCUUUUUUUUUAAUUUCAUAUAUAGAAAAAAUCAUUGAAAGAAAUAAAAAGUUCAAUAUAAUUUUUUAAAUUUACUUGUCGGGUUUUAUUAAAGUAACUCAAUUUUUUGAUUAAUUAUAAAAAUGACUCAAUUUAAAAAUUAUGUACAUAAAUUAUUCAAUUUCUAUAGUAUUUGUCAGUGCCGCCGGACACAAUGGUGGCACCGACCUACCAUCAUCGACCAAUGAUUGUAUUUUAUUUAAAAAAUAAUAGUUCUUGGACUUGACGAAGUAAUUACCCUUUUUUAAUUAGCAGAAAAAUGGGUCUUCUCAUGAAUAUGGGACACCAAAUUAAAUGCUUUUCAUCUUUUGGUCUAUUUGCAUGUGAGGUUUAUCCUCUUUUGAAAUUAAAUUUAAAUAACCCUUAACAAAUAUAAGAAUAACAAAAUUAAAUCAUUCUCAUUUAUUUUAUUUUAUUUUUAAAAAAUAAACUUAAAAAAUUAUAUAAAAUUCUUAUUUAAAUUAUCCAAAUAUAUCCCUCACACAAUUUCCUUAAGUUUAUCUAAAUUCAAGCAUUUUCAAUUCAUUCCCUAGCAUAUUUAAAUUUAGAUAAACUUAAGGAAAUUUUUUGAGGAAUAUAUUUGGGUAAUUUGAAUUAGAGUUUUAUAUAAUUUUUAAGUUUUUUUUCAAAAAAAAAAGGUUUAAUUUUGUUAAUAUUAUAUUUUUUAAGUGCUAUUUAAAUCUAAUUUCAAAAGGGAACAAACCUAACAUGCAAAUAGGUCAAAAGUUGAAAAACAUUUAAUUUGGUUCAGAUACCAACGACACCUCUUUUUCAACCAAUCUAAAAACGUUAACCGCUUCAAAGGAUCCUUGCACGUUUUAUAUAAUCACAUUCAGUCUGGUGCCGUCAAUUUAUUAGGCUACACCACUACAAUUUUUUUUAAAAAGCAAUCAUUGGCUGAUGAUGGGGGCCGGUGCAGUAAGCACUAUAGAAAUCAGGUCAUUUACGUACAUGAUUUUUAAGUUGGAUCAUUUUCGUAAUUAACCAAAAAAUUUUGGUUACUUUUAACUGUCUAGUUGAUGUGUGAAUAUUAACGUAGAUCAGUUUAUAAAUCUACUCAUUUUGAUUGUCUUCCAAAGUAAAGAAGGAAGAGUGAUACUAUCUUAUAAUGAUAUUUAUGUCAACAAGUUGUCAUUCCUCGUUUGGAGCGUCUGGAUUUGUCCUCCAUCAACAUUCAUAAGAUAUGGCACCACUCAUCCUCCCCAUCUAUCGGAUACCUAAAUUCCUUGGAGGUGAAGAGGUGUCACAAUUUGAAAUACCUAUUCUAGUCUUUCUUAGCAAAAGAUCUUGUGCAACUCCGACGCCUUCGAAUUUUGGACUGUAAGAUGAUGGAACAAGUAAUAUUCACGGAUGGAUUGGUUGAGGAACAUCAAGGGAGGAAUCAGAUGUUUUUCUUUAAUCUAGAUUCGCUGCGGCUAGACGACCUUCCCAAACUCACAAGUUGGUGCUUUGAAAAUUACUUUGAAUUUCACUGUUUGGCAUAUUUAACACUAAGAAAUUGUCCAUUGCUAAAAACAUUCAUCUCUAAAUGUGUACCCGGAGAUGAACCUCAAAUUGGCCAACAUGUACAGGCAAGUAACUUGGAGGUUCAUAACUCAUCUCUCCUCAAUGAAAAGGUAAUUUCUUCAAGGAUCCUCCUUUUAAUUUAUGUUACUUCGAUUGAUUUUAUUCAUUUGAAGUUCUUUCUUUUUCAUACAUAUUUCAGUUAUUAACCUAAUGAAAUGAUUUAUUAGGUUGUUUUCCCUAGUUUGAAGAAGUUGUGGAUUGAGAAUUGUGAUUCGUUAGAAGAAAUUAUUGAGCUGGAACGACUCAUUGCUGAUGAGUCACAGUCAACAUCAGCUGCUCAAUCUAUUAUGCCUGAAACAGUGACGACCAAGUUUGUAUUUCCCAAACUAAUAAACCUUGUAUUAUAUAAGGUGCCAAGAUUGAAAAGUUUCUACUCUAGGAUGCAUACCACCCUGUGGCCUUCAUUGAAACAAAUGAGCAUUGAAAAGUUUCUUUUUCAUACAAGGCGGCAUUGUAUUUCCCAAACUGAAGUAUUUGCAACUAAAGUGUCUGCCAUGUCUAGCAAGCUUUUCCUUGGCCCAUCACUCGUUGGAAUUCCCAGUCUUGCUAAUGGUGAUGGUGACAAAGUGUCCCAAAAUGAGGAAUUUCUGCCAAGGAGAUUUAAGCACACCAAGGCUGGUACAAAUGCACUUAACAAGAGAUGAGGAAGGUGAACUGCAGUGGGAAGGCGACCUUAACACUACCAUAAAACAUAUGUUCGAUGAAAUGGUACAAAUCAUUUAAAGGAUUUAAAUUCAUGUGUUUUUACAUACAUACAUACAUACAUACAUACAUACAUACAUACAUACAUACAUACAUACAUACAUACAUACAUACAUAGUUAAUUGAACAAUUCUUGGUUUGUUAUGAUCAUGCACAGAAUGUGGAAAAUUCUGAGGUGACGGAGGUUACUGAUCAGUUGCCCAAGCUGGAAUAAGGAAAUAUGUUUGGGUGCUAAUGCGAAAAGCUCAAUUUCGUUUGAAUUCAAAACAAAUGGUAAUUGACUCUUCUAUUUUCAUCAUGGCUUAACUAAUGCUUUAUAAAGUGACCAUAGAGACGCCCUUUUCAUUGUAGGUUGAGUUGCUCUACUGAAUUUUCGAGGCUGCAACUUUAGGUAAAAUGUGAAAGGUUAUUUCAGUUUUUGUAAAACUACUAUUUGAACUGUUCCAUUUCACAUUAUACCCUCAAAAUUGAACUUCAAGUGCAUCAUGCAUGGCAUUGGGCUACAAAAAUGUAAACUUUUACUAGUAAGGUUGACCCAUGUUUUAAGGAUUUGCCAACUUUUGAUGGUUACCAUAUCAAUGUCAGCUUAAAGCUAUCAAGCAUCUUUACAAAUAUAAUAUAUAUAUUAUUCCUUAACGAGGGAUAAAAGUAGGCAGCUAUCUACUAAUGAUACGGCUGAUUCUGAAAAGACGGCCGAAAUUGAAUCAAUGGGUUGUUGGUAUUUGCCUGAUGGAAGAACAGUGCCUAAUGUUACGUGGAUGCUGAUCAAGUUUUAAAUUUUCAGUUGUGGGCAUUACUGAUUGUUGUCAUUUGGUUGUUGAUCCUCUGAUUUUACGGUUGACUGUCUUGCUUAUACGUUGCAAGGUUGGCGGGUCUCAAGUAUCAAUUUCCAAGCCGACUAUCAUCCAUAAUUAACUAGGUGUUCCAAUCCAUGGAGUUUAUGGUUUAUUAGUGUAACUGACCAUUUGGUUAUGGAUUGGUUCUUAAGGUGUUUUGAUGCUUUGUAUGUUACAGUGUUUGCUCCAAGCAACACCCUUUAAUUUCUAAGGAAUUUUAUUCGUUGAGGAAAAAAAAAUGAGGAUUACUCUGAUAUUUUAUGUUUGGGUUUAUGAAGAUUUUUGUAUCUUUAAUGAAAGAAAGCAAAUUAAAUAGAGACGUACAAGAUCACAUCCAUAGAUCAACAAAAGGGUUUAAUAUUUCCAUAAAAAGUUGUCCCAGAAAGGCCUUUUAAUGGGAAUUGAUCAUAUAAACUAAUGAAGGCCAUUGAAAAUAAAGCUUGUAAAAAUUUACAAAAAGGAAUUGAUGAGAAUCUUCAAUUUGUUGCGAUAAGAAUUUAUGGCCCUGUAGGAGCCUCUCCCCAAAUCGCUAGCAAAUGAAACAAAAGGAUUAAUGCACUUCGAUAAUGGCAGAUUUAUAUUUGUUACGAAAGGUCAAGAGCCCAAGCUAUCUCAUGCGACAACUUUCCCUUAAAGCAUUCGUGGCUGAGUCUAGUAUUAAUUUUUAUUUGUAUCUUUUAUAUCCAUUUUAUAAUUCAUAUUUGCGAUUUGUAUUAUGCACUUAAUAUUUCAUUAUUUAUUGUCUAUGUUGCUCAUUGUUGCAAAAAGAAGAACCAAACACAAUGCAUGCAUAAACCAUAAAAAAGAAAAUAAAAAAAGAACAUAAGCAACUAAUAAUGAAAUAUAUUAAAAUCAAGAAUGGCAAUUAAUUUCAGAAUCACCCCAAUUUCGGUAAAUAUAUUAAAACAUGUGUCUGUAAUCUGUUUCAAUUUUGAUAUUGAAAAAAUUGGUAUUUCUAAAAAUAUAAGAGUUAUUCUAUCAUUUUCAUUUUUGAAAGUGAUAAGUUAAAGACAAUUAAUUACAACGUUAAUAUUUUUCAUCAAUUAUACAUAAUUUUCUUGGUAUAAUGAUAAAUUUAGCCCUCAAAGUUGACACAUUCUAUCAAUUUGUUAUUGGUUUAAUUAAUUUAACCCACAAUAUUUACACAUUUUGUCAAUUUGAUCAUGAUUUAACAUAUUUAACCCGUAAUAAUUACACAUUCUAUCAACAUUUACACAAAAUAUAUAAUCAUCAAGGAUUAAAUUUAAAAUCAUUGAAAAAAAAAAAGUAGGUUCUAUAUAAUUAUUUAGUCACUCUCACAUUAUUAUUUUUCCCAUUCAAAGUUAAAAAGUCUUUUUUGUGAAAAAUAGUAAUAUUUUGGUCCCCGCCAUGUGUGUGAAGGAAAAUUAACAACAUCACACAAUCAAAUCUCUUUUUUCUGCCAUACCUUUGUGCCUCCGAAGAAAGUUAAAUUAUUAAGGCACAAAAGUACCAAGGUGUAGAAGCUACCAAAAGAGGAGCAUGAAAAUAAAGAGAGAUACAUAUAUUACGUCUGGCAUGAAAUAUUUACAUCUUUUAUUAAGUAAGAUUUUCUAGUUAAAUUUAAUUUUAAAUCCUAUAAAAAAAAGUUGAAUUUGAUAAUCAACGUUUAAAAAAGAGUUGAAUUAUUAUUUUUUAAUAAAAAUAUUAACCAAAAUGUUAAAUUUCAAAAUGUGGCAAUCCGUAUAACAAUUCAGGUGUAGUUCAUGCAAAAAAAAAUAGACCUGUUUAAAAUAUGCUUGGUUUUUAUGAACUCUUUUUGUAGGAAAUUUUUAUUUUUUAAUAUUUUUUUAAUAUUUAUUUAUUGACGUGACAUAUAAGAUAAAUAAUACCAUGUCAACAUAAAGUACAUGUGGCCUGCUACAUGGGUUAUCAUGCCAACUUUGUUAAAAAUUAAUGUUUUAGUCAAUAUUUUUUAAAAAGAACACAAUUUGACUCUUUUUUAAAGGUUAAUGGUCAAAUUUAAAUUAAAAAAUAAUAAUGAUCAAAUUUACAAAAGAUGUAAAUAUUAAGUGCUGAAUUUAUCAUUAUACUUAUAUUAUUUUAAGUAAAAUUUUUGGAUUUGAAUUUGAAUUAUUUCAAGUUUAGAUUAUGUUGAGUUCAAGUCAGUUUAGACUCGAAUAUUUUGGGAAAUUUAAAUAGUUUUGAUCUCGCAACAUUUCAAGAGAAAAUUAGCAAGUCAAAAUUACAAUUAUAAAAUAAUAUAUAUCAUUUAUCUAUUUAUCUAUAUAAGUUUGAAUUACUAAAAGUUAUUGAGGCAUUAGUAUUUGUGUUGACGCAUGGGAGUUUAGGUUCAAUCUCUUGAUUGAAAUAAUAUUUUAAAAAUAUUUUAAAAAUAUGGGAGGGUUUGGGUAAAAAUAUAGGUCCGAAAUAUGAGUUUGGGCAAAAAACAAGGUCCGUUUAGAAAACGGGCCGGUCUUCGGGCAAAAUUUUUUUGCCUGAGCCCGGCCCGGCCCGAAAAUAUAUUUUUUAUUUUUAAAAUAUACUAGUUUUAGUUUUAUUUUAAGUUUUAAGUUACAAAAUGUUAGAUUUUGUUGCAACAAUUAAUAAAAUUAACAACUAAUAAUUUGAUAUAAUUUGAUAAUUUUACUAACAAUUAAUACAAUUAACAAUUAAUAAUUUUACUACAAAAAUGUUAGUAACAAUUAAUAAUUAAUAAUUUAAUAUAAUUUGAUAAUUUUAGUAACAAUUAAUACAAUUAACAAUUAAAAAUUUUACUAACAAAAUGUUAGAUUUUACAAAAUGUUGACUGGUACAAAAAAUAUAUAAUUUGAUACAAUUUUAAUAACAAUUAAUUUUAAUAAUAAUUAGCUUUAAUUUUAAUAAAAAUAUAAUUUUAAUUUUAAUUAAAAAACGGACCGGGCCAGGCUGGGCUCGGGCCCAGGAAGCGGGCUGAAAAUUUUUUUGGGUCAGGCCCGAACUCGGCCUGGACCUACCCAUGGACACCUCUACCCAUUUACAAUGAACAACCUUUUUACGUUUAGAAAGUUUCACAAGAUCCGAUAUUUUAUUUUUGUGGAGUGAUUCCAUCUCCUCUUGUAUAGCAAACAUCCACUUUUCUGAGUCUUCACAGUUAACCGCAUCAGAAUAAUUAGAUGGCUCUUGGUUUACAUCUAUAUCUUCAGCCACAUUUAAAGCAUAAGCAACUAGAUCAGCCUCGUCAUACUUCUUUGGAGGUUUAAUUUCUCUUCUAGUUUUGUUUUUGGUAAUAGAAUAUUGUGGUGAAUUGAAUUUUUGUACUGGCUUGAGGAGUCGACUCUGUUGUAGAUUCUAGAAUAAUCUGAUGCUCCACCUGCUUUUGAUUAAUCUGAUGCUCCACCUGCUUUUGAUUUUCUUUUUUGGAAGAGUCUUUAAGAGAUAUGUUAGGUAGCAUAACAGUUUCAUCAAAAACAACAUCUCUGUUAAUCACAACUUUUCUAUUUUCAGGAUACCAUAACUUAUACACUUUUACACCAGCUUUAUAACCAAGAAAAACACAUUUAAUGGUACACAAUAAUAAAUUUUCCAUUAUCAACAUGAGCAUACACAAGACACCCAAAAAUCUUUAAAUCAGAAUCGUCAGCAGGAUUACCAGACCAUACCUCUUAUGGAGUCUUUUUCUCAAUGGCAACGGAUAGAGACCGAUUGAUCAAAAACAUGUAGUUGACACUGCUUUGGCCCAAAAUAACUUUAGUAAGUUGACAUUUGACAACAUACAUUGAACCUUCUUCAUGAUCGUUCUAUUCAUUCGUUCUACAAUACCUUUUUUAAAAUGGUCAUUUUCUAAAAUGAAAAACACUAUGAAAUGCUUCUAUGUCCUAUGAAUUAUAAAGGAAUGCUGUUGAAAUAUUCCCAUCGAUACAUACAUACAUAUUCGUGAAGUAUGUUCUAAUAUAAUAUCAAUAUUGGGAUUUACGUUUUAUAGAGCAACAUUAUUGAUUGGUAAUAUACAUUGAUUCCAAGGCAAACCUAAAUAUUUUAAAAUUUAACCUAUAACUGUGGCAAAUCAAACUUAAUAGUAACCCGAUUGUAAUGUGACUCAAAUAUGAAAGUAACAUUGGUUUAUAUAUAUUUUUCUCUAAGUUCUACUAAUCAAGUUGGGAUAAGUGAUAAACACUGAGCUUGCCACGUGUGUUAACCACGUUUUUAUCAUGUGCCACUCCAAAGACAUCAGGCCUCUAUUCAGGCUGGCAUGGUCAGGACGUGGCAGCAUACUUCAGGCCCGUUAGAAAACAUCCCAUAUCGCUAAAGAACUAUAACACAGGAGCGUUUAUAUAAGCGAAACCAGAUGGUUUUCCCUUCGGGGACAUCCGAUAAAAUUGGAACGAUACAGAGAAGAUUAGCAUGGCCCCUGCGCAAGGAUGACACGCACAAAUCGAGAAAUGGUCCAAAUUUUUUUCCCUUUUUUUUCCCACAUUUUUACAGCUCUGUUUCUUUUUUUUUUUCCUGGGUUUGGUGUUCAUAUUCGUGGGUUUUUGUGCACUUAAGAUUGCAAUUAGAGUUUUCUUUCUUUCUUUUACUGGGCUCGGUCUGUUUUACUCUCUUGAACUGUGAAUUUGAUUUUUUUUUUUUUGCCAUUUUUUCAGCUUUGUUGCUUUUUUCCCCCUGGGUUUAGUUUUCAUGUUCAUGGGUUCCGCGCACUUAAGAUUGCAUUAGAGUUUUUUUUUUUCCUUUUUACUGGGUGUUUUGGCCAGUUCUACUCUGUUGAACCGUGAAUACCUCAAGUUUUCUGGGAAUAAAUUGUUGCUUAUAUAUUUGCUGGUCAACAGUGCUAAUUUUCUGAUAUAUUGGCCAGAAUUGAAGGAUGAAGGUCCAACUUUGCUUUUGGUCCUUCUACUACUAUCUUAAGAUUUAAAAGAAAUUCAAUUAAACAAUUUCUUCCAAUAAAAUUAAAUAAGAAGGCCCAGAAAUUGACCUGCACACUUAGACAUGUUUCUCUUUGAAAAAAAUUCAAACAGGAUUUUAAAAUUUGCAAUGUGUUUUAUGUAAAUCAAAUGAUAUCCUGGAUUUUGCUAAGGGUGCUUCAUAUCCUUGAAUCCUUUUUUUGCUUGGCAAGUGAUUCAUUGAGUUUUUGUGAUCAAAUUUCAUGUUUCCUUUUUUAGUACGGGAAUUUGUGGGAAAAUGCUUGGCAAUAUGGAAAUGAAACCAAUUUCCAUUUCCAAAGGCACCAGCAAAGUGGUGAAGCUUAUUAUUGAAAAAUUCUUCAAUAAUGUCAAUAAUGAAAAAGUAGAAAAUGGAAAAACAGAGAAUAAUUUGGUUCUUCAUCCUAUUUGUAGUUAUAGUGAAUGGAUUUCUUUGAUUUUAGUAACUAAUAUUAUGAUUCCAACAUUUGGGGUUUUAAUCUCACUACAUGAACUUGGCUUUGCUUCUUAGUGUUAUUGUUCAACUUUUUAGGAUACCUCUAUCUUAAUCCAUUUAUGUGAUUUGAUAAUGAUAUUUGCAGGCACUUAAAUCUUCCAUUGAAAUGGAGAACACCAAUUACGACGAGGAGCUGAAGAAUGAUUGCAGGCUUGUUUGCAGUCUCAUAUACGAUAUUAAUUGCAGAAAAGAACGGUUGUCACAAAUGGAACGUGAAUAUAACGAGAUGACCGCAACUCUUCGAGGACUCAUCAAUGGCCUCAUAGCAAAAAUUAACUCCAAGGACAGUAAUCUGUGGGGUUGGGAGCUUCAAUAUAAUGUAACCGUGAGACAGUUGAAGGGCAAGAAUGCUGCGUUGCGCCUUUCGUUUGCUGAAGGUACUUUACAUUAUAUAUGUGUAUGUAGUGAGCAGAAUACUAUGUGUUAAUUGAAUCGUUUGGUACCCAUUGAUUGAUCUAUAUAAAUGUCAGGAUUUGAACCCCAAACUUAGCUUUUAUUACGGGAACCGGAUCAAUUUAGGCUCGGAUAAGCUUAAUGGGCUCAGAACCAGAUAAGAACAUAAUAUAUGGGAACACUUUGGCCAUACGAGGCUAAUGCUUAUAUGAUUCGCAUUACAGACUACAUGCACUGUUAGUUGAAUAGCUUUAUGAUGUAUUAAUCUAUAAAAUCUGGGUGUCAUAUUAUGAGUUCCAUUGCUAUGUUAAUCUAUGUACUAACAAUAUUAUGAAGUAAGGCAAUUUUGUGUACAUUAUAUUGGGACGCAAGCUGAAUUCCUAUUAAUCAGCUUCAACCAUACAUACAUACAUACAUACAUACAUACAUAAGAACGUAAGUGCUGUUAAAUNNNNNNNNNNNNNNNNNNNNNNNNNNNNNNNNNNNNNNNNNNNNNNNNNNNNNNNNNNNNNNNNNNNNNNNNNNNNNNNNNNNNNNNNNNNNNNNNNNNNNNNNNNNNNNNNNNNNNNNNNNNNNNNNNNNNNNNNNNNNNNNNNNNNNNNNNNNNNNNNNNNNNNNNNNNNNNNNNNNNNNNNNNNNNNNNNNNNNNNNNNNNNNNNNNNNNNNNNNNNNNNNNNNNNNNNNNNNNNNNNNNNNNNNNNNNNNNNNNNNNNNCAAGUGUUAUCCUUCAUUUAUCUUGAUGAUUCUCUAACGCCGCCAAUAUUCCCCCCUAAGUUUACAGCAAGAAGAAGAAGAAAAAGAAGACAAACGGCAACGUUAAGCCAUUUUCAUCCCAGGUUAAUUUUUUUGUAAAUUAAACAUUUUUUGUAUACAUUUUGUUACCUAUUUAUAUUAUGUUUUUGAAGUUUCCAUUGACAUUUCUACCUUUCCAAAAUGGUGUCUUUUUACUUGUUUUUUACUGGGUUAUUGACACUUGUUCGAUAGAAUAAAUUUCUUUGAUUUUAGGGUUCUAUAUGUAUUUUUUUUGUAUGAAUUUUAACUUGAGUUAGCCAUAAAAAUUCCACCUUUAAUCUCAAUAUAUGAACUUGGCUUUGCUUCUUAUGGUUAUUAUUUGUUUAAUUUUUUAAGAUACCUUCUUGAGAUCUGAUUAUUUAAUCCAUUUAUGUGAUUGAUAAUGAUAUUUUCAGGCACUUAAUCUUCCAUUAAAAUGGAGAAAACCAACUACGAGCUGGAGCUGAAGCUGAAGAACGAGCGAAGGCGUGUUUGCAGUCUCUUAUACAAGAUUGAUUGUAGAAAGCAACAGUGGUUCGAAAUGGAACGUAAAUAUAACAAGACGACUGCGACUCUUCAAGGACUCGUUGAUGGCCUCAUAGUGAAAAUUAACUCCAAGGACAGUUGUUUGUGGGAUUGGGAGCUUCGAUAUAACGAAACCGUGAGACAGUUGAAGGGCGAGAACGCGGCGUUGCGCCGUGUGUUUGCCGAAGGUACUUUAGAUUAUAUAUGCAUACAUUAGUGAGCAUAAUACUAUGUAUUAAUCGAAUCAGGUGGUACAAUGAAAGACAUCUUGUCUUUUGAUGUUACACGAUUUGCAUCUAGAGCUUUGAUUGAUCUUAGGGUCGUUCUUUCGGUACAAAAGAAGUCACGGAUUAAGGAUUGGGAAGGGGAUAAAAUUUUCGGGAUUCGAAUCCCAAACUUAGCUUUUAUUACUGGAACCAGAUAAAUUUAGGCUUGGUUAAGCUUUAAUGUGUUCGGCACCUUUCCAACUUGUUUUCUUUGAUGCAGAAAAUCGAAAGGAAAAGGCUGAAAACUUUAAGCUGAGAUGUGAACUUAGAUGGCAAACCAAGGAACUCGAAGAUUAUAAAUCUUGGAAUGAUAACAAUAUGGAACGAAGAAGCUUGUUGAAUGAAAUUGAAGCGAUUAGUAUACUCAGUCUUAAUUUUCGUUUUUGAUAUAUGAACUAUCUUUUAUCGAGAUUGCUGGGAAAACCUGCGGUUAAAUUGUUGAUGGUUAUGAUUUGCCGAGUGGACAUUUAACAAUGUGGAUUGUAUCUGAUACAGCCGAAAGAGAAUGUGCCUUGUUGAGAUCUUGUUGAACUCAAGAAAACUAUGAGCGAUCAGAUUGCUGCUCUAAAGGAACAAUUGGAGGAAACAUCAGAGGCAUUGAAAGAUAUGGAAAGCCGAUACAGUUGUCUUACAGUGAAACAAAUCUUAACUAAUCGAGAACUGCAAGAUGCUCGAAAAGAAUCAAUAAGUGUAUUUCCUCGUUUUCCUUUGUUUUCUUGGAUGUUAUAUUUCUUUAGGUGCAAGAAAUACCUCUUCGGAAUCAGGUAUGAAAGUGUUAAACCGAAGACUUUUCUGGUUCUUGAUAUGCAGGGUCUAAAUGAUGUAUUGACAAGCCGAACAACUCUUGUAGUAAAAAGAAUGGGGGAGAUCGAUCAAAAAGCUUUUGAAGUUGCUAGCUCUAGGAAGUUCCCGAACAAAGAUUGGCAAGAAACAUGUGCUAAAUUAUGUUCAUUAUGGCAACAAAACGUGCAGGAUCCGAAAUGGCACCCGUUUAAGAUGAUCAAUAUCCGAGGCAACUUGCAGGCAUGGUGUAUACACCAACUAGUCUGUUAUCCGGUUAUCGAAAAUCCAUUUUUUUACUAAACGUGCUAAACAUGUAUGUCAGAAUCGAGCCAGUUUAUUACUCGAACUUAUAUAUAUUAAGGGGAUGGCUACUCGGUAGUGUAGGAAAUAGUAGACGAAGACGACCAGAAGCUGAAGGAGUUGAGAAAUGAAUACGGUGAUGUCGUGUACGAGGCUGUUAGCACCGCAUUGAUGGAAAUGAACGAAUAUAAUGCGAGCGGAAGGUAUGCAGUCAUUUAAGCUAGUUGAGUGACCUGCAAUCUAGUUUAUCAUUUUUAAAAUAUUUAUAGUCUAUGAAUUUUGACUUUUCUUCCAAUAAUAUAUCUCCGAAAUUCUAACUUAACCUUUUUAAACUUUGUCAUGUGAUUAUUAUUAAAGUUAAUUGCACCAAAUAUCUCCAAACUAUGGCCCUUAUUCUAAAAUAGUCCUCAAACUCAAAAUAUUUUAAAUUAUAUUUCCAAAUUAUCAAUAUUAUAUCAAUAAUGUUCUUCUGUUGCUAAAAUCAUUAAAUGAGACGUCAAAUCUUAUGAGACAUAAUUUAAAAUAAAAAAACUUAAAGAAAAAUGAAUAUAUUGUAAAAAUAUUGAUUUCAAGGUUUUCGAAGCUAUUACAAAAACUAUCAUUUAUUUUCUCUUUUACUUUAUUUUUAAUUUUUAAUUUUAAAAGUUGUAUCAACAACAUUUUACUUUUCUUUAAAAAUAUCAUUUUAAAUUAAUAGUGUCAAUAAUAAAAGGAUGAGAUAAAUAGUUUAAAAUAUUUUAAAGUUGGGAGAAUAAUUUAAAAUAAAGAUGCAAUAUUGUUAAUCUAGUACUAUUUCAUUUUAUCAUUUUAUCGUUUCAACUUUUGAAGACAACAUUUUUAUUUUUGAAAUAUUUUAAAGACAACAUUUAAAGAUUGAUUAUAAUAAUAUUGUUGCAUGGAAAAAGAAUUUCCACGUCAGCAGAAAGGCUUACGCCUGACGUGUGCUUAGUAUUAUUAGAAAAGUCAAAGGUCGAGAAAGUCUAAGGCGGGUCACACAUAUCACACGCCAUGCACAGGUUUUCUUAUUUCGAGGCUAAAAUACCAAAAUACCAUCACAUUUUUUGUUAAAUUUACCACUUAAUCAACGAUCCUCUAAAACGAAGUAAGGACAUAUUAGAAAUUUUAAUCGCAAUAAUAUCACCAAAUCUGAAAUAUUACAAAUGAGGCAAAAAAAAAAAACGAGUAAUAUUUGGCCAUAAAAUGUAAAUAUUCAUUCCCUCUAAACCAGUCGGUUAAGCCUCACAAUCCAACGUAACUGUAAAUCUUUCUUGGCAGCCAUGAAAUCAGUUCUAAAAUCCCUUGCAAACUCAAUCUUCCUUGUUCUAUUCAUCAUCUUUUCAUCUUCUACUCCACUUGUAUUGGCUCAAUGUGAAGCAGAGACCAAGACUAAUGGAUGCCAUAACUACAGAGAAUCCAUGAAGCUAAAAAUCAUCGCCAUUGUCGCAAUUUUACUAUCCAGCAUGAUUGGCGUGUGUCUACCAUUGUUUUCUGGUCAGGUUCCGUUACUUAAACCCGACAGGGACUUGUUCACCAUUGUCAAGGCAUUUUCCUCCGGUGUUAUUCUAGCGACUGGUUACAUGCACGUGCUACCGGAUUCUUUCAACGACCUUAUGUCCGGGUGUUUGCCUGAAAACCCAUGGAGGAAGUUCCCUUUCACAACCUUCGUCGCAAUGCUGUCGGCUGUGUUGACCCUUAUGGUGGAUUCAUUUGCAAUGAGUGUAUACAAGAAACGUUGCGGUAAAGCUUUAAUGGCGGAUGCUAACAAUGGUGGUGGAUUGGAAAAUACGAACGUUGUACCAAUCGAUAAUUUUGAACACGGCCAUAGCCAUUCACUUGAGAUGAAUGACGACGUAUCAUCACAAUUGUUAAGGCAUCGAGUUAUUGCUCAGGUANNNNNNNNNNNNNNNNNNNNNNNNNNNNNNNNNNNNNNNNNNNNNNNNNNNNNNNNNNNNNNNNNNNNNNNNNNNNNNNNNNNNNNNNNNNNNNNNNNNNUUGGGAAUUGUAGUUCAUUCAGUGGUGAUUGGUCUUGCAAUGGGAGCCUCUGGCAACCAAUGCACCAUUCGAUCACUCAUUGCUGCCCUUUGCUUCCAUCAAAUGUUUGAGGGGAUGGGACUUGGUGGAUGCAUACUGCAGGUAACCCCCAACAUUGCACUAUUUUCUCAUUCAAACAUCCAUUUAGUGUACAAUAUUGAUUAACAUUAUGUUGAUAUGUGCAGGCUGAAUAUGAGAUAAAAAUGAAAGCAAUCAUGGUAUUCUUCUUUUCAGCCACAACGCCACUUGGAAUAGUUCUGGGAAUUGGUUUGUCCAAGGUUUACAGUGAGACGAGUCCAACUUCACUUAUGGUGGUGGGACUACUUAAUGCUUGCUCAGCAGGGUUGCUGAAUUACAUGGCACUGGUUGAUCUCCUUGCAGCUGAUUUUCUGGGCCCUAAGCUUCAAACAAAUAUGAAGCUCCAGGCUUGGUCAUAUGUUGCAGUUUUACUUGGUGCUGGAUUUAUGUCUUUGAUGGCAAAAUGGGCUUAGUCACUUCAACAUAUACAUGUCUUUUUGUAGUUUUUCAAUCUUCUUUUCUUUUUUUUUUGUUCUUUUUUUGCUUCAACAGAUGAGUUUAUAGUGAAUCAACACUUAUUCAAUCAAUUAUUUACCAUUAUGAAACAAUGCUUACGUUAAACUUUUUUUAACCCCCCCGGCCCCCCGCAAUGCAUGAAUACCGAUGAUUGUUUACCAUUAUGAAAGUACAAAUGCAGACACCCCUGUUGUUGGAAAAAUUGCAUUUUUAUGGGAACUUUAAAGCAUAUUCUCUAUAGGUAAAAGUGGAGAGUUGAACCAUAAAUUAUGAUUUCAUAUUCUACUCCAUGAGACCUUUACAACAAUAUAUCAUAUGCUCAAAAUGGUUGAAAUAAAUGAGAAAUUGAUGCUCAAAGUAAGCUAAAAAUAAAGGCUUGGAUCCAUAUUGGUUAAAUACCAAAGUGUGAGAUGGGUUUAUAUAUGUGAACCCUCUUAAAAAGAUAAUUGAAUGAUUAAGUUUGUAACUUUGUCUUGUGCGUAGAAAGUAUAGGUCUAAACCUGAAAGGGUUGGGGCACACCCGCACGAUGUGGGCAACGCGAAAUGUUUGGACCGGUCAAGCUUAAUUGGGCUUACGGAUAUUUUAAGCAAGCCCAACACGAAUUUAUUUUCCCUCAGCAGACAUAAUCUGCUUAUAUAUAGACAGUAUCUAAUUUGAUUUAAUUUUUAAAUCAAAUUGAUUUUUAUGUUUAUUUCCUUAAUUUUUAAAUCUAAUUUGACUUUUCUUUAAUUGAAGAUUUUAUGUUUAUUUCCAAAUGUUUUUACUAUCCUAAAUGCCUAUAAAAUGCUGUGUAUUCUGGAGGAUUACAAACACAUUCAAAUAAUUUUCUAUACCGAAAUUCUAUUCAUUUCAAAACUCUUCUUUUGCCUCUCCCUAUUUUUACAAUAUUCUAGUGAUUGAAAAAGAAAAAGUUCAUUUGUUCGAUCGUUGUAGAGGUGCUACUACUUUGAUCAUUGUUGUUGUUGUAUCCUGGGAGAUAUUCGACUAACGUUUCUCCAAGUACCGUAGGAGCGGCCGAAUUUGCCUUAAGGAAACUGUGUUUCGCAGGCCUCAACUUUUCGUAAAAUCUCGAUUCUACUUUAUUUCAACUUUUUAUUUGAUUUUUAUAUUUGAUAAAUUAAUUAGAAAUCAUUCUACUUAUAUUUUAUUUCAUAUGUGUUUAUUUAUAAUUAAUUAUUUUGUUCGCUAACGUGUUUUGUCCAACACCUAUUACAAUUUUUAUGGUUCGAUUCAUUUUGAUGAAGAUUUCCCCAAGAUAAUACUUACUUCAUAAAACUUCCUAGCAGUGAAACAUGGUACUUAUCUUACAACAAGACUUUGCUAGGAGCACUGCGAAAUAUGUUCUUAUUAACAUAUGUAACGUAUUAAUCCUUAGUUUCAUCAUGAAUUUGGAUACAAAUGUGUUAAUGGAUAUAGCCACAUAUCUGCAGAUACAGGCACAAGUGAGCAAUGAAGAGAGAGGGGUAGACAGAGAGAGUUGAUAUAUAUUGGGGUUGAAUUUACGGGUUGUGCAAUUGGAUGCAAGAAAGGUGCAGCAGGCACCUAAGGUCACUAGUAUAAAGGACCCACUUGAGCACAAUUUUGUGUUUCAAUUCAAAUGUUGCUCUCCCAGAUGAUGUUUGGCACCAAAUGGAUUAGGUGUUAAUCCAGUCCCCCUCCGUACAUAGCACUGCUUUCGCAUUUGUAGUGCCCCUUUCGGCCCUUUUCCUUCUGCAUACUAGCUAUGCCUAUAGCAACAUAACUAGGCUAGGCAUGUAUGCGGGUAAAGAACAGCCACUAGUGAUCCCCUUUUAUUCUUCUUUUACUUUUCAGAUUUGGAACAGAAAGGAAGGAAAGCCACCACGAAAGAAAUCAUUGAGUACGUAAUCAGGCAACUGAAGAUUCAUAAGCGUAAACGAAAGCGAAUUCCGUGAUCCCGAGCCGGCUAUUUUCAUGGUAAGCUUACCUAUCCUUUACUGUCAAUCACUAAUCAUUUUACCGUUUAUAUUCGCUUUUUACAUAUCAUGAAAACUAAUCAUUUCGAGAUUUGUGGUUGUCAUUCUCAACAACUUUGUUUUCAAUACUUUUUAAUAUCAUUUUAAAUUUUAAAAUUCUUUUCCAAGUUAAAUACUAAUAUAUAUAUAUAUAUAUAUAUAUAUAUAUUAUAGCCCCAUGUUAUUCAACCUUUAAAUUAAUAUAAACAACUUAUACUGUUAUGAGUUUUUUUUCCCUUUUUUAUCUUCAAAAAUUGUGAAUCAAAGGCAAUUAGAUCUGUGAUUUUUGGAUUUGAAAACCUUAUCAACUUGAACAUAAAUCUUUGAUCAAAUAAACUCGAUAUGAUCUUAUUACAAAAUUUAAACUUCAAAUAAUUUCAAACUUAAAUUUGAAACUGAUUUGGAUGAAAUGAUCUGAAAAUUUCUAAUUUUGAAUUAUUCUAUUAUAGAUCUAGCUAUAGCCCAAUACCCAUCACAAAUAAUUACCUUCUUCCUAAAAGAUAUGUUGCAAUGCACUCGAUUAUUUAUUUAGGACUCUUUUUCUUUCUGAUGUGGGAUUAAUGACUUUGAUUAUGUAUUGAUAAAUUUUAAUUUUGAAAGUAAAAAUAGAGAAACUAAGUUUCAAAUGUACGAAGUGUGUGUAAGAACUUCGAGAAUAUUUUAAUCUUUAAAUUUUUACUUUAUAAUUUAAUACAAAUAAAUAACCAAUUCAAUGCAAAACGAUGUGAGGCUAAUCUUUUUAACAACAUGCCUACAUCCUCAUUUAAUAAAUGAUUUUAAUUUUUAUAUAACUCUCAUUCAGCUUAAUGUAGUAACUAAGUUGAUUAUUAGUAGUGAAGUCAAAAAAAAUAUUUUGAGGGUUGAAAUUAAAUUGAAUAUUUUUACAAUAGUGAAAAUGUAAUUUUACUAUUUUAAUAGUCUAUAUAUAAUUUUAUAAUUAUUAAUUUAAAAUUUUAUAAAUUAUAAAGGAGUCUAAAUGAAAAUUUUUUUCAUUUUAAGGAAACUGACAUUGGUAAUUAUAAUAAGAAUCAAAUUCUGACGUAUGAGGUUAUACAUUAUUUUUCAGUAAUAGAUUUUUUUUUUUCGUUUUAGGUAACAUUUUCCCUAUGUAUUCAUUUAGUUGCCUUACAAAUAAUGUACAUUAUUGUAAAGAGAGUCGAUGUAUAAUUCUUCAAUACUUACCUCGUUUUUUCUUACCCUUUAUUUGCUAAUAAAACACAACGUUUACAUUGGGACCAUAAUUUCAUGCAGAAACGGAAAAGACUUUGCCAUUCCCUAAUAUCCUUCUCUAAAGCAAAGGAUCGUCUAUGUACUAGUGACAAAUGGGUUCAUAUCGGUCUCUCUUUGGAUUAGGAUUACCACCUAUUUGAACUGGUUAAAGUUUGAGUAUUUAGAAUUUGGAUAAUUUCAAGUUUAGAUUGUCUCAAUUUAAAAUAAGUAUUUAGACUAGUUGAUCCACGAACCAGUUGAACAAACGUCCGAGUUGAUUUUUUAAAAUAUAUAAUUUUUAAUUUUUAAUAGUUUAUUCAAUUAAACCAAUUGGACUGAUUAAAUUGAGUAGAGGUGUUUUCUAUUGCACACAAUCUAAUAAAAGACUCCUACAAGGUAAAAAAUAAAAAAAAUUAUAGAAAUGAUUUAAAGUUUAGGUAAAUAAUUUAAUGAAAAAUAGACAUGAUUAGUGGCGGAGCCCCGGUCCGUCUAAAAUAGAAUAUUUUCCAUUUAAGUCUUUUAUAACUUAUAAAAUUUUAAAUUAGUAAUGGUAAAAUUGCACUUUCCUCCCCAAAAAUUGAUAAAAAAUUGAUUUAACCUUUUAAAAAUUAUAAAGAUAUAAAUUAUUAAAAUGGUAAAAUUGUAUUUUCAUUAUCGUAAAAAUAUAUAAUUUAAUUCCGUCCCAAAAAAUUUUCUAACUUCGCCCUGGAUAUCAUUAUCUCAAUAGAAAAGCUAAAAAUAUUGAGUAUACAAUAAUUAGGUCGAACAAUUUUUGUUGGGAAUAUAUGUUAAAUAUUAAAAUAUAGAUUAGCUAUUAAAUGUAAAAUGGCAAAAGAAUAAAUUAUAAAGUGUACACAAGGUUGAUUUCGUAAAACUAAAAAUUACCAAUUUUUCACAUCUUUGUCAACUAUUAUACACUUGAGAUGGCAACAGCCUUUUCUACUUUAAUCGGUGAUUAAUGGUUCGAUCAUUGUCCUAAGUAUGGAGUAACUUUAAAACUCGUGAGUAGCAUCCACCCUGUUAAUGGGCCUAUAGAAUGUGGAGGGUUAGUUACUGGGCUCGCUCUAAUAGAUACAUUGAGAAAUUAAAAAAAUGGAAUAAAAAAUGUUUGUAAAUUUGACAUUUGAAGUUGUUUAAAGUUAUAAAUUAAAUUGGUAAUAUAUAAGAGAUAUUUUUAUUUGUGUUUAUAGAGAAUUGAAGAAAUAAAAUUUUAAUAUUAACCAUAAAUUAGCAAAUAAUAUCUUCAAAAUUUAAAGUUAUAAAAGUGGAAUAAUAUCAAACAUGCAAUCAAUUACAUUAUUUUAUUUUUGAAUUUUUAUUAAUAAUAGUAAACAUUAUAUUUAAAAAUCAAUAUUACAUAUUGAGAAUUAAUUAUUAUGAACACUUUAUUGUGGGGUUUUUUUUUACAUUAAUAAUAUAAAAUAAAUAAAUAAAUACUAGAAUAGGAUAAAGGGAAUAAUUUUUACAAGAAUAGGUAAAUGAAAUAGUGAAAUAUCGGUGUCGUCUGACCAAUCGGCGGCACCACUUUAUUAAAAUUUUAUUCAAGUGCAACCUAACCAAUCGGCGACACCAGACUAAAAUAUGAUGAUCUAAAAGGAUAAAUUGCACCCUAAAUCCCCCUUAUUUAUUAUUAUUUAUUAUUUUUCUUUAACACCAAAAAAUAGAUUGGCCUUUUAUAAAUUAGUCUAAAAUUUUUUUUUUUACCAAAAAGUAUUUUUGUAAGUAAACCGUUUCCAUUUGGAAAUAAAUUUUAUUUAUUUUUAAAAAAUAUUUAUAAUUUUAUUAUCCAUUUGAUUUACGUACACAGUAUAAAAUUAUAAUUAUAAAAGCUUUAGAAAAAUCUUAUUAUGUAUAAAUUAUAAUUAUUAGUUAAAUUUAUAGUUUCCAAAUAUAAUGAGGGAAAAAGAAAACUACUAUAAAUACAGUUAAUUGUAAUGUCAAACAUAAUGUGAUUUUUUUAAAAAAAUAAAUAAAAUUUAUUUCGAGUUGGAAUCGACUUACUUGAAAAAAAAUACUUUUUGGUAAAAAAAAUUUAGACUAAAUGAUAAGAGGCCAAUUUAUUUUUGGUGUUAAAAGAGAAUAAAAUUUAAUAAUAAAUAGGGGGUUUAGGGUGCAAUUUACCCUUUUAAAAUUUGAUGCUAUCAUACUGUCAGGUAGCACCCAUGAAGAUUUUUCGACUGUCAAUUAAAACGAAAAAUUUCCAUAUAAGGUCCCUGAAAUUUUUAGAUCAUCACAUUUUAGCCUGGUGCGGCCGAGUGCUCAAGCUGCACCCGAAUUUUUUUUAAAUAAAGUGAUGUCGUCGAUUGGUUAGGCGGCACCGGUAUUUCACUAUUUCAUUUGACUAUUCUCAUAAAUAUUAAUCUAUUUAUCCUAUCCUGUAUUUAUUUAUUUAUUUUAUAUUAUUAACGUAAAAAAUCCUUUAUUGUGACUUGCGGAAACGUGGAUUGAAAACCAAACAGGGUUUUUUUUUUUUAGUUUUUCUUGAAUUAAAAUGCAACCAAUAAGAAUAAUUGAUAUUUUAAUUUAAUAAAAAUAAAAUUAAUUAAUGUUUGAGUAUUUAAUUUUAAAAAUGAUCAAGAUGUAAUUACAACAAUUAAUUUUAAAUGUUAUUAAAGAUAUCUAUAUAUGUCAAUUUUUUAUAAUUAUUAAUGACAUACAUAUAAAUUAAUUAAUAGCGUGUCUCUCAAAGAUGAUAUUGACAGUGGUAGAGUCAGAAAAUAUUUUUGAGAGAUCAGAAUUAAUGUAAAAAUAUACCAUUUAAUUAAUUUAAUAGUUUUUAUAAUAUUUAAAUGAUUAAAUUAAAAUUGUUAUCAUUUUAAAGAAGAACAAAGUAUAAUUUAACUUUUAUUAAUUUAAAAUGUUAUAAAUUAUAAAUAUUAUACAUGAAAAUUUUUUCAUUUUAGGGACAGGAUACUGUCAGCCCCUAUGACAAAACUAUGUAAGCCUUGAAAACAUCCUUCAUUAUUGUAUGUCUUUUUCUACUUUGGCAGUGGUGUGCUUUUGUUGAUUCUAGCCUUGAAAACUCUUGUGACCUUCUCUCUUGCUUUUGUUGGUAAAAGCGAAUAUUUUCCCAUUAAAAUAUGUUUUGGUAUACGACAUUUUAUGGUAGUUGGCUACUAUUACUCAGCUGUUUCCACGUGACUUCCUUUCUUUUAAAGUAAGAUGAAGUCAUCUUUCUCAAAUCACUACUUUCUGGGUUUGCUCUGUUAAGAAAAAGAAAAAAAUACAGAAGGGGGAAAUUUAUCAGUUAUUGAUCAUAGCCAAAAGGUACGCCAUCUGCUUUGCUCUUACUCUUUUGAAAUACUUGUCGGCAUAAACAAGCUUAGGCAGGCAGUUUAAGCCAUGAAAAUGGACUUCUUUUAUGCUUUAAAUCUUUUUAGCUUUAAGAUUUUGAGUCCUGUACUUUUUCGAUUUUAAAAUCUUCAUCUUUCCAUUCAAAUUUACACUUAGUGUUGUUGACCUGACAAAUAUAAAAAGAUCAAAUAAAUUUCUUAGCCUUAAUUUGAUCUUUACUUUUUAAAAUUACAUAAAAAUUCAGAAUUAAAAAGAAAACAUAUUUUCAGUAAAAAUCCAUUAAAAAAAUUGUGGAAAACACUCUAAAGAGUUCGUAGAAAAAAGGGAUAAGAAGGGGUGACUAUUAGGAAUGCUGCGUAAGCACUUUUGUUUGUGAUCUAUCAACAACUUGUGCCUUCCACAUACUGCAAUAUGGUUAUUAAGAGGUUGAGUACUGCUUUAUCUUGUAGACGAAGGAUUUGUACUAGAACUGAUUAUAGGUUGGGUCAAUGUAAAAAUUUUAAAUUUGUUUUUUGGGUCCGGACUCGGCUCAACUAAACAAAUGGGCCUAAAAUUUUUAUUUAAGUUCAACUCAGAUAAAAAAUACUAAAUCUGAACCCGUAUUAAAUUUUUUAUAUUUUUUAUAUAAAAACAAAUUUAAAAAAUAUAAUACAUCAAAUACUCUAAACACAUUAAAAUAAAUGUUUCUCAACAAAUUAAAAAUAUAUUUAAAAAAUUCUUUAUAUUUAAAUAACAUUAACAUAGUUAUAAAUUAGCAAACAAACGUUUCUAAAAUAAUAGUAAAAUUAAAAAUAAAAUAAGAGUUACACAAUAUCUAAAUAAUAGUAGCAAAAUAUUAGUAAUAUAAUAGUGAAACAGUAGCAAAAUAACAACAUAACAACAAAAAACAACAACAUAAAAGCCGUAAACAGCAGCAAAAAAAUAAUUAAAUUCAGGUUAGGUCCAAACUAAAAAAAUCUUGUCUGAGGCUCGGCCCAUUUAAAACGCGAAUCUUUUUUUUUUUGAAGCUUAUUUUUUGGGUUUAUAUUAUGACCUAAACUCUUUAUGUUUUGAAUGGACUUUGUAAUUCGACUCAUGAACAAAGUCUACUUUAUAAUGAACGCUAUAUAUGGUUGGAAAGAUGGUUUGAUAGGGUACUAAAAUUAAAUGAAAAAUCAUUUAAAAAACAAAUUAAAUAUUCAAACAUUAAAUAUAUAUUUUAUAUAUAAUUGGUUUGAACUAAAUUAACAAAAUACUUUGAUAGUUUUCAGAAAAUUCCUGUUGCUAGCGGUUAAUAUCUUUGAUUUCAAUUAAAAAAAAUUACCAAAAUACUUUUUUGAAUAUGAUAUAGUGCAAGUUGCACAAGUAGUUUAAAAUUUGAAGAUAUUAUUACUAUUUAAGGAGUAAAUAUAUUUUUUAAAUUGAAACAUUUAAUAUACUUUAUUAUUUUCUAUUUUUUUUAAAAUUAACUAAAUUAAAAAAUGUGCAACAAAUUAAAUAGUUAGAAGUUUUAAAUUUAAAUCAAAAUUGAAAUUUAUGAUCUACAUGAAUAUACCAUAUAAUAUAAUGAUUGUAUCAUUAAAAUAUUAAUAAUAUAAAUAAUUACGGAAGUGUGUAAAAUUACUUUAAUUUUUUACAUUGCGUAAGUAGAUCAUUCCCCUUAAUAUUAAUAAAUUUUCAUAAAGUAAAAUUACUUUACUUUAAUUGUCAUAAAGUAAAACAUUAAUCUCAUAUUUAUAUUUAUAUUUUUAAGAUUAUGCAAAUGAGUUCUUUUUAAAAAAAUAUAUAAGAUAAUUCAAGUUUUGGUCUUUGUUGUCGCUGUGGUUUUUCAGUUUGCUCUCUCGAUGGAGAUUGUUAUUGCCAUCGUUGGCUCUAUUGUAGCGAAAGCUGUAGAGUAUACGAUCUCUCCUAUCAAAAACCAUGUCAAAUACCUUUCCAAUCAUCAGAAAAAUGUUGAGACCCUCAAGAACCGAGCUAAUAGGCUGAAAGAUGCAAGGGACGGAGUGCAGCAUUCUGUUGAUGAAGCUAAACAAAACGAAAAAUAUAUAAGAUAAUUUUAACUCUUCAAUGGUAGUUAUGAUUAUGCAAAUGAGUUCUUUUUAAAAAAUAUAUAAGAUAAUUCAAGUUUUGGUCUUUGUUGUCGCUGUGGUUAUUCAGUUUGCUCUCUUACUUGUUUGUUUACAGACGCUCUACUUUUUACUCAUUUUUACUUGUAAUUUUUUCUUCUGGUUUUGUUUUGAUUUCUGUUGCGGCUGUGGUUUUUCAGUUUACUUGCUGUUUGCUCUCUCAAUGGAGUCCGUUAUUGGCAUCGUUAGCUCUAUUUUCACUAAAGCUGCAGAGUAUGCGAUUUCUCCUAUCAUAAACCAUGUCAAAUACCUUUCCAAUCAUCAGCAAAAUGUUGAGAUCCUCAAGGACCAAGCUAAGAAGCUGAAAGAUGAAAGGGACAGAGUGCAGCAUUCUGUUGAUGCAGCUCAACGAAACGGAGAAGAGAUCGAACGUGAUGUUAACAACUGGAUGUCGGCAGUGGACAGGAAGAUCCCUGAACAAGUAGAGAAAGUGAUGCAAGAUGAAGAAAAAGCAAAGAAAAAGUGUUUCAUUGGUUUGUGUCCUAAUUUUUGGACUCGUUACAAGCAUAGCCUGAAAGCUGCAGCGGAGGCGAAGGCUGUUGCCAAGCUACUUGAACAGGGCAAGUUUGGCCGUGUUUCUUAUCUUGUACCUUUACAGAGUAUCACUGUCCCACCCGGUAAAGGUUACGAGGAAUUCGAGUCAAGAACGUUGAUUUUGAACGGAAUAAUGGAGGCACUAGAAGAUGAUAGCGUCAGCGUUGUUGGGGUGCAUGGUACGGGUGGGAUUGGAAAAACAACGCUGGUCAAAGAAAUCGCUAGAAAGGUCAAGGGCGAGUUGUUUGAUUCAGUGGUCAUAGCAACUGUAACUCAAGCCAUCGAUAUUAAGAGGAUUCAGAACGACAUUGCAGACUUAUUGGGCUUGAAAUUUGAGGAACAGAGUACGGUUGGAAAGGCAAUUCGACUACGAGAAAGAUUGAAGCAAGAGAAGAGUAUUCUGGUUGUCUUGGAUGACAUUUGGGAAAAGGUUGAUAUUGAGGAAGUAGGGAUUCCUUUGGGAGAUGAACACAAGGGCUGCAAGUUACUAUUAACUUCUAGAGAGCUCAAUGCUUUAUCAAAUGGGAUGGAUGCUCAGAAAAAUUUUCCCAUUGGUUUUUUAAAUGAAGAGGAAGCCUGGGACCUGUUCAAGAAGAAGGCGGGCAACUUUGAUGAAAGUUGCAAUUUGAAGCCUAUAGCUAUGGAGGUAGCCAAAAAAUGUGCAGGACUGCCGAUAGCCAUUGCGACAGUUGCAGGGGCUUUGAGAAACAAAAGAUUGUUUGAAUGGGAGAACGCUUUACGAGAACUGGAGAGGCCUUCGUCAAGCAACUUCACGGGGAUAGCUGCUGCGGCAUAUUCAGCCAUACAGUUGAGUUUUAAUUAUUUAGAAAGCGAGGAAGUUAAGCGGACUUUCUUGCUUUGCAGUGUAAUAGGCCAUAAUGGUUUCGUUGAGGACUUGGUGAGAUAUACUCUAGGUUUGGGUUUAUUUGAUGGCGUCUACACUGUGAAAGAAGCUAGAAAUAAAGUAUUGACGGUUGUGGCUAAUCUCAAAGCAUCCGCCUUGUUGCUUGAUAGUUAUAAUGAUAAGCGCUUUGAUAUCCAUGAUGUUGUUUGGGAUGCUGCUAUAGCUAUUGCAUUGAAGGACUACCGUAUGCUUGUUUUGAGAGAUCAUGCUCCAAAGGAGUGGUCCGAUAAGGAGAAAAUGAAGACGUGGAGUGUGAUCAGCUUACGUUAUCCUCAGAAUAUAGCUAACCUUCCUAAGGAGAUGGAGUGUUCAGGACUUUCCUUUUUCCAUAUGGCCUAUGAUGGCGUGGUUAAAAUUCCUCUCAAUUUCUUCAAACAAACCGAAGGCCUCAAAGCCUUAGAUUUGGUCGGAAUGCAGUUUCCAUCCCUCCCUGAAUCAAUUAUUCACCUUGCAGACCUUCGCAUGUUGUGUCUACAAGAAUGUGCAGUUGAUGACAUAACCAUCCUUGGAGAGCUCAAGAGUUUACAAGUACUCAACCUUUCUGUGUCAGGUAUGAAAGAACUACCUAAGGAGAUGGCACAAUUGACUCAAUUAAGGUUGUUAGAUUUGCGUGGGUGUAGAGAACUCAAAAUCAUCCCACCGAAUGUCUUAUCAGGUUUGUCUAAAUUAGAAGAAUUAUAUAUGAGUGGGAGCUUUGUUGAAUGGGAAAAGGGAGGAAUAGUUGAAAAUGAGAGGAAAAAUGCAAGCCUUGAUGAAUUAAACAAUCUGCCUUGUCUAACUACUUUAUAUGUUCAUAUUCUUGAUGUCCAAAUGAUACCAAAACACCGGUUUGUUGAAACAUUGGACAGAUUCAGGAUUUUCGUAGGUAAUUAUGGAAUAUAUGAUUGUUGCCAUAAUUAUGAAUCUCCGAAAGCAUUGAAACUCAUGUUAUAUACAAACAUUGAUUUCGACAAUGGGAUGAAAAAGUUGUUGAUAAAGACAGAAGAUUUGUGCCUAGAGGGACUUGAAGGCGUCAAGAAUGUACUUGUGGAGUUAAAUAAUGGGAAAGAUCUUCCAAAUUUAAAGAGACUUCAUGUCAAAAAUGGUAGACAUGUCCAAUAUAUUAAAACGAACAAAAUUGGAUUUUCUGAAUUAUGCUUCAUCAAAGUUGAAAAUCUACCGCAACUCGUUAGCUUUUGCCCUCCAGACGAAAGGUGUUCCACUAAGCCCUUACUAUUUUUCAAUAAAUAGGUAUUUGUUUGGCUUUACUUAUAUUUCCUUAUACAACUUUUAUUUAUAUGCCCAUUAAUACUUCUAAUAAUAGAAAUACAUAAUAUUGUGUAAAGGUUUUUCCGGAGCUCAAAAAUAAAUUUCAAAUCCAAAACAAAUGAAAAUUUAAUUUUUAAUUCAAACCGAUUGAAAGUACAAAGUCAAUUCAAUAAUCUAAAUUUAAACCCAGCAAAUUUUUUUUUAAUUCUGAAAAUGAAAUUUGAGCCCACAAAUCGAACUAAAAUUAUCUUUAAAAUCGAAAAUCAUAUUUUCAAAUUAUGUUACAUACUAUCUUUCCCUAUCGAAAAAGAAUUGUGUGUAAAUAUGUGCAAUUUAUUUUCCCUCACUUGGAAAGCUUGUUAUUGUGUUCCAUUAACACCAAAAUAAUAUGGCACAACCAGACAUGUCAUUGGGUUACGAAUUUGAGGAGCUUGAUCAUCAAAGGAUGCGGCAAGUUGGAGCAUCUGUUAUCACCCUCUCUCGCUAGAAGUCUGGUGCAGCUCCAAUGCUUUGAGAUAGAGGAUUGCGAUUGCUUAAGGGACAUAAUACUUACCGAGGAAAUUGAAGAAGAAAGGAAAGAUGUGAUUUGUUUCCCUCGAUUAAACUCCCUGCAUAUAGAUGGUCUUCCAAACCUCAUCUUCUUCAACUCUGGAAACCACAAUAUUGAGUUCCCAUUGUUGAAAGAGCUAAGGAUUUCGCGUUGCCCCAAGUUAAUAGAAUUCAUUAGUCAGAAUAGUAAUCAGUCCGGCAUGCACGCUCUCUUCAGUGAGAAGGUGAUUUGUUUCAGUAGUCUUACACUCUUGCAUAAAUCCGUUGAUUUGUCCUUGUUUUUUUUUCUGCCUUCAUUAUUUGAGCUAACCUUAUUAUGGGCAUGGAUUAUAUAUAUAUAUAUAUGAAUAGGUUGCAGUUCCUAGCUUGGAAGACAUGAAUAUCUCGGACUUGAGUAAUGUGAAGACGAUAUUUUAUAAUGACCUAGCACCAGGUUCCUUUAAAAAUCUACGAAAAAUAAGUGUUGAGGGAUGUGGGAGUUUGAAAAAUCUAUUUCCAGUAUCAAUAGCCAAAGAUCUUCCACAACUUGAACACUUAAGCAUCACUGAUUGUGGAGUUGAGGAGAUUGUAUCGAAAGGGGAUGGAGUGGAGGAGCAGCCAGCGAGGUUUGAGUUUCCGCAAGUAUCUUACCUUGAGGUUAGUGGGGUAGAAAAGCUCAAAUGUUUCUAUGAAGGGCAACAUACAAUAGUCUGGCCGAUGUUGAAAAAAUUGACAACAGAUGGUUCUGCUUUGCUAAAGAUAGUGGCAUCGGAACAUCUUAGAUUAAUCCAAGGAAAUGAGCAUCCAGUUUUGUUGGGUGAAGAGGUGUGUAUAUCAUUACAACUAUAUUUCUUUUAUGAUUUAAUAUUGAUUUUGUUGGGAUUUAAUCAUCAAAAUCAAACUCUAAAAUUGUACAUCUUUUGUUUGUUUGUUUGUUUGUUUUUUUAAAGCAUAUACAUCAACAUUGAGCCUAACUUGUAUAUAUUUAAUUGGUUUCCAAGGUCAUUCCCAAAUUAGAGGAACUUGAGUUACAAGAUUUUGAUGAUAUGGACCAAUUUCCACCAGACUUGUUUCAACAUAUUAAAGUUUUUGCAGUGAGUGGUGGCUCUCCAUCUUCUUUAUUUCCUUUCGUCCGAAAAUUCUACAAUCUGGAAAGACUUGAGUUGUCUUAUUUUGAUUUCAAACAUUUAGUCCGUUGUAAAGGAGAUGCCGGGUCUCUCCCACCAAUUAGAAAUCUGAAAUUGUUUUCUGCCAGAAAUCUUGAGCAUAUUUGGAGGAAAGAUUCGGAGCUUGACCAUAUUCUUUCUAAUCUUCAAACACUCACAGUUGUGGAUUGUGAUGAUUGGAUAAAUAUUAGAGUCUCCUCAUCAUCUUUACAAAAUCUCACAACUUUGAAUGUGUUUUGUUGCGAAAUGAUGGCAAACUUAGUUACACCCUCAGUACUUAAGAAUCUUGUGCAAUUAACGACAAUAAAGGUAGAACACUGCACUAAAAUGACAGAAAUAGUGGGAAACGAGGGAGACUGUCAUCAGACAAUAGUUUUGAGUAAAUUGGAAUGUUUACAACUAUGCAAUUUACAGAGCCUCACAAGCUUUUGUCCAGGGUAUUGCAACUUCGAGUUUCCUUGUUUGGAAGAAUUAGUUGUGGAAGGUUGUCCUUGGUUAAAGAUCUUUUCUGAGGGAGUUUUAAGCACCCCACAAUUACAGAGAAUAAAACAGUCGCGUUACGGUGAGCAAUGGAGUUGGACAAGUGACCUGAAUACCACCAUACAACAGCUCUACACAGAAAAGGUACAAAGUUAAUAAGUUCAUAAUGCUAGCUAGAUUCCUCGUGUCCUAAUACAAUUAAUUUUAUUACUACUUCAAUAACCAUUGAAGAGUGUUAAUCGUUAUUUUGUUAUUGUCUGCAUUUUCUAUUUAUGAUUGCUAUCUAGUGGAAUAAUAUCAGAUUAAUUUUUAGGAUGGACNNNNNNNNNNNNNNNNNNNNNNNNNNNNNNNNNNNNNNNNNNNNNNNNNNNNNNNNNNNNNNNNNNNNNNNNNNNNNNNNNNNNNNNNNNNNNNNNNNNNCUCUGACACAUUUCCGGAGUCGAUAGAAACAUGGACUAGAAACCCUCAAGAAAUUUUGGGCUUCAAAAAACUUAGCAGCCUGCAGUUUUAUAAAUGUAGCAGCUUGAAGUACAUAUUUACUCCGUCUAUGCUUUUGAGCCUCAAUCAACUAGAAUCGCUAGAAGUAAAAGAAUGCAGUUCAAUGAAACAAGUGGUUAGGGAGGAGGAGGAAGCAAUGACACAUAAAUUUACAUUUCUUUCGCUACUCUCCGUAACAAUUGAGUCGUGUUCCAACUUGACAAAUUUCCAUUUGGGAAGUCAAGCUCUUGAAUUUCCAGAGCUGUGGAAAAUCAGGAUAGCUGAGUGUCCAAAAAUGACUGCAUUUUCUUCCUCAGUUUCAAGAGAGAGUGGUGAUGCAAGUGAAAACGUGGUUGGCGAAGGGGGCAUCUAUGAUAACACUGCAACUCUUUUCAGCAAUAAGGUAAGUUUGGUAUUCAAUAUUUAUCUGCACAACUUAUUUCACAUUUUCUUUUGAUUUGAUCAACAUGAGUGUGUCUGGUCUAUAUAUACACACUAGUGCUACCCCUUGUCAAAAUUGAAUAUAAUAAAAUCCAUAAAAAUAUUAAUAAAUAAGAUAAUAUUUAAAAGAAAAACUGGAGUUUAAAAGUAUAAAUAAAUAUAUAAAAUAAGAAUNNNNNNNNNNNNNNNNNNNNNNNNNNNNNNNNNNNNNNNNNNNNNNNNNNNNNNNNNNNNNNNNNNNNNNNNNNNNNNNNNNNNNNNNNNNNNNNNNNNNNNNNNNNNNNNNNNNNNNNNNNNNNNNNNNNNNNNNNNNNNNNNNNNNNNNNNNNNNNNNNNNNNNNNNNNNNNNNNNNNNNNNNNNNNNNNNNNNNNNNNNNNNNNNNNNNNNNNNNNNNNNNNNNNNNNNNNNNNNNNNNNNNNNNNNNNNNNNNNNNNNNNNNNNNNNNNNNNNNNNGAUGGGUUCUUUUUAAAGAUUUAAUGCUUUUUUUUUUAAUUUCAUAUAUAGAAAAAAUCAUUGAAAGAAAAAAAAGUUCAAUAUAAUUAUUUAAAUUUACUUGUCGGGUUUUUAUAAAAGUAACUCAAAUUUUACGGUUGUUGAUCCUCUGAUUUUACGGUUGACUGUCUUGCUUAUACGUUGCAAGGUUGGCGGGUCUCAAGUAUGAAUUUCCAAGCCGGCUUUCAUCCAUAAUUAACUAAGUGUUCCAAUCCAUGGAGUUGAUGGUUUAUUAGUGUAACUGUCCAUUUGGUUAUGGAUUGGUUCUUAAGGUGUUUUGAUGCUUUGCUCCAAGCAACACCCUUUAAUUUCUAAUGAAUUUUAUUUGUUGAGGAAAAAAAAAAGAGGAUUAAUCUGAUAUUUUAUGUUUGGGUUUAUAAAGAUUUUUGUACCUUUAAUGAAAGAAAGCAAAUAAAAUAGAGACGUACAAGAUCACAUCCAUAGAUCAACAAAAGGGUUUAAUAUUUCUAUAAAAAAUUGUCCCAAAAAGGCCUUCUAACGGGAAUUGAUCAUAUAAACUAAUGAAGGCCAUUGAAAAUAAAGCUUGUAAAAAUUUACAGAAGGAAUUGAUGAGAAUCUGAUACACUAAUCAAUUUGUUGCGAUAAGAGUUUAUGGUUGUAGGAGCCUCUCCCCAAAUCGCUAGCAAAAGAAACAAAAGGAUUAAUGCACUUCGAUAAUGGCAGAUUUAUAUUUGUUACGAAAGGUGAAGAGCCCAAGACCCUCCAACCUCCUCGGAACAGUUUGAAAUCGUUCCAAAAUAUGCUCUAGCAAACGUUCCAAGCCAUCUCAUGCGACAGCUUUCCAUUAAAAGGUAGUUUUCUCAUUCGUGGCUUGAGUCUAAUCUUAAUUUUUAUUUGUAUCUUUUAUAUCCGUUUUAUAAUUCAUAUUUGGGAUUAGUAUUGUGUACAUAAUAUUUCAUUAUUUGUUGUCUAUGUUGCUCAUUGUUGCAAAAAUAAAUAAAUAAACACAAUGCAUGCAUAAACCAUUAAAAAAAAAAACAUAAGCCACUAAUAAUGAAAUAUAUUAAAAUGAAGAAUGAUAAUUGAUUUCAGAAUUACCCUAAUUUCGGUAAAUAUAUUAAAACAUGUGUCUCUAAUCUUUUUCAAAUUUGAUAUUGAAAAAAUUGGUAUUUCUAAAAAUAUUAAAGUUAUUCAAUUAUUUUUAUUUUUGAAAGUGAUAAAUUAAGGAUAAUUAAUCACAACAUUAAUGUUUUUCAUCAAUUAUACAUAAUGUUCUUGAUAUAAUGAUAAAUUUAGUCCUCAAAGUUUACACGUUCUAUCAAUUUGCUAUUGAUUUAACAAAUUUAACCCACAACAUUUACACAUUUCGUCAAUUUGAUCAUGAUUUAACAUAUUUAACCUGUAAUAAUUACACAUUCUAUCAACAUUUACGCAAAAUAUAUAAUCAUCAAGGAUUAAAUUUGUUUUUUAUACUAAUCAAAAUAAUUACACAUUCUAUCAACAUUUACGCAAAAUAUAUAAUCAUCAAUGAUUAAAUUUAUUUUUAUACUAAUCAAAAUUAUGUAUAAUUAACAGAAACUAUUAGCGCUUGAUUAAUUGUUCGUGGUUACUUUCAAAAAAGAUAAGGAUUAAUUUGUUCAAUAUCAAAAAGAUGUUUUUUUUUGUUUUUUUUUUAAUUUCAUAGGUAAGAAAAUCUCAAAAAAGAAAAUCUUUGAAAUAAAAAAUAGUAUGUUUUAUAUAAUUAUUUGAAGUUACUCUCACAUUAUUUUUACCCAUUCAAAGCUAGCAAGUCUUUUAUGUACAAUGGUAUAUUUCUGCAAUUUGGAAUAACAUUUUGGUCACCUCCAUGUGAAAUGAAAGAAAAUUGACAAUGUCACACAAUUAUUAUUUUUCCCUCCAUGCCCCUAUGCCACCAAAGAAAGUUGAAUUAUUAAGGCACAAAAGUACUAAGGAGUAGAAGCUAGAAAAAAAGGGGCUGAUGCAGCCGUUGAAAGCACCAAAAAUAUCCUAUCCCCAAUAAAUAAUGAAAAAGAAUAGUAAAAGGGAAGUAGGGUCAAAUCCUUAGGGACUGGAUGUGCACAAUAUCUUGUUCCAUGAAAUCUCAGGCAGAAUCUUGUCCAAGAAAACUUGCGUUCUUGAAAAAAAUAAGAAACUAACAGAAUUAAAGGUUUGGAUCUGGAAACGAAAAAUAAAAUAAAAACAGAAUUAAGAAUAUUGUAUCGAAAAUUUGAGAAAUUAAAAAUAGAGUUGAAAGAAAGAAAAUUCUUAUGGGAGAUUCCAGCCUCCAGUUGUCUCGUUCCGCCCUGGGUUCAAUCCUCGGCUUUUAGAUAAUCCUUCCCAAACAGAAUAAGCCAGUUAUAGUGGAAGAGGACGCCUACGACCACCAGCUCCAAGGAUUUAGACUUACGAUUUGGUGGAACCCGACUCUAGCCAACAAUCGCUUCUGUGGGAUCAUCUUAUGCUAGAUCAACGCUUCUCAAUGGCGAAUCCCACGCCAUUUUGUCUCUUGGGCUCGCCAACCUCUGACGCAGUAAGCUAACGAACCGACUGUGCAACCUUCCCAAAACAUACAAAGCGGCCGCCUUUGCAUACGUUGAAAAGCUUACUUCUUAAGGGACAUGGACGAAAGCGUCAGCCCCGUAGUGCGGAGAAACGAUGAACACUCGUUAAGAAGGCUAAGUACAGAUUCUAAGCCUUAUGAACCCUUUUGGGGAUUUUCGACAACAUUUGGCUAGAUGGGUUUAGUGGCUCAUGGUUGUGGUAGAAAAGAAAAUAAAUAAAAUAAAAUUGGAGAUUUUAUUGAAAGGAAAUAUAAGAAGAAUAAAAGCCUAGACUUUUAGGGAGAGAGUGUUUACAGAAAAAGAUGGGAUUCAUCUCUUUUGAGUCACUUCAACCCCUAUUUAUAGUGCUAGGGGAGAUAGUCUAAUCCUACUUAAAUUCCUAAAAGAUAAAUACAUUUAAUUGAAGAUAAAUAAAGAUAAAUAAAAUAAGAUCCUAAAAAGAAUCCUUAAUAAUUAUCUCAAAUAUUAAUUAUCCUAAUAUAAUUAAAAUAGAGUUUAAUAGAAUAAAAUCUCUUCUUUUUGCAUUUCAACUCUUGUGUCCUCCAUGCUUGCACUUUUGGCACCAACUUUUCCUUGUGUUGCACAUUGGCCCAUUUUAUCUCUAAAUUAACGUUUUUGGCCCUUAAUUUUGCUUUUGCCUCAAAUUUAGACCCUAUGAGACAAAAUAUAAUAAAUAGCUCAAAUUAGUAGUACCAUACUCAGAAUAAAUACAUAAUUAAUACAUAAAAUACGUAUUCUAGAGUGUUAUCAAAUUCCCCCUACUUAGCCCAUACUUGCCCUCAAGUAUGGUUCCUAUCUAAUGUGAAAGUUAGAUUCUGCCAUAAAAGAAAUACCACUCCAAAGUUUUAUAAAAAUCAAUCAAAAAUGCAUAUGAAAAAUAAAGAAAACCCUAAGCUUGCUUUAAGUAAAACUGAAAAAGUUUUUCAAUUAAUACACACAAAAAUUAGAAUCGACUUGAAUUAUUUAAUGAAAAUUAGGUAAAUUACCAAACCUACCAAGACACCCUAUUUGUUUCCUCCUUUAGUCCCCAAAUUAUAUUUUUUUUUUCUUUUUAUUAUUAUUAUGCUUUAGGAAUACACUGAACCUUUUGACGCGAAGAGAGAUGACAGCCAAGCACCCCACCCCGGUUACUCAACCCAGCAGACUCCUAAUUUAUUAUAAUUUUUUCUUAAAAACACAUCGAACCUUUUGACGCGAAUAGAGAUGACAACCAAGCACCCUACCCCGGUUACUCUCGGUUAACGGAGUUUUACCUAACACGUCACACAACCUUUUGAUGCGAAAUAGGAUGACAACCCAAGCACCCUACCCCGGUUACUCAGUCAGUCACGUUUUUAAGCUGCACUCAUAACCACGGAAACAUUAAACGACAUUUUAAUAAUAAAUUUUUUUAUGAGGACUUUAGAGAAAAAAAUAGGGGAAAUUACCAAUAAAAGCCGUUUUUUUUUCAAAAUUUACCAAAAUGGGCCGAUUUUUUUAUUAUUUACCGGAAUGGGCCAUUUUCCGCGAAAUCGCAUCCACGUCAGCGCGAUGUCAGGGUACGUGUCAGGACAUCGCGUCCACGUCAGCGCGAUUUGCUUACGUUGACACAAAUCGCGCCUACGAGGACGCGAUUUACUGAUGUGGAUGAACAGUUUAUGUUUUUAAGCUUGGAAAAUUUUGAAAGGCCAUAACUUUUCGCUCGGUUGUCCGAUUGAGACGAAUUUUUUUUAUUUUGAAUAACUUUUUGAGUGUACGCGCUGACAAACAGCCGAAAGCGGUUUACCAUAGUUUUCGUCGAAAAAGAUCCUUUUUUGCCCCUAAAUUUCAAUUUUUUCGGUUUAAAAUUAAAUUUUGAAACAUUCAAAUCAUUAUUUUCCUUAUUUAUUUGAAGUAAACACCGGAUUUUUUUUACAGAAUUGUUGUAUUAUUUUUUCUGAUUUGACACGUGUAUGGAAUAGGUCCGAUAAAUCGUUAGAACGUAAGUAAUAUAAUUAAGAUAAUAAUAGUAUUUCUAUAAUAUUUCAAUUAAUUAGAUUAGCUUAGUUGGUUAAGAUGCUUGCUCUUUUCCCUUGGUACCUUGGUUCAAAUCUUGUUGGUAACAAUUUUGAAUCUUUUUUGUACUUUUUGCUAUUGAUUUGUCUCAAUCGGACAACCGAGCCAAAAGUUAUGGCCUUUCAAAGUUUUCCAAGCUUAAAAACAUAAACUGUUCAUCCACGUCAGCAAAUCGCGUCCUCGUAGGCGCGAUUUGUGUCCACGCAAGCAAAUCGUGUAGACGUGGACGCGAUUCCUGACACGUACCCUGACAUCGCGCUGACAUGGACGCGAUUUCGCGAAAAAUGGCCCAUUCCGGUAAAUAAUCAAAAAAUCGGCCCAUUUCGGUGAAUUUUGAAAAAAAAAGGGUUUUAUUGGUAAUUUCCCCGAAAAAAUAAUAAUAAUCAAGUGUCAAAAAUAAGUUUCAAUAAUUACCUUAAUAGUCAUCAACAUAUUUAGCAUGCAAACAUAUUAAGUGUCCACUUUGUAUUAAACUUGAUCAAUUUUAUGAAAAGCAAGAUAAAGUUAACUCUAUGAAUCACAAUUAUUUUUAGCCUAAUAAGAAUAAAACAGUGGAGAUGGCAUCAAUUAUGAAAAUCCGUAAUUUCCUCAGAAAACAAGAAUCAUGCUUGUGGGUCAAACAGUAGGCAAUUCUUGGUAAAAAUCUUGGGCAUGAAAAGAGGCAGGAGAUUCUAAAUAAAUAUAGACAAAAUGGAGCCUCAAGCAGCAACACCAGCCAAAAAUAAUCACAGCAACAGCAACAAUAACCAAAAUCACAGCAGAAAAUGAUAGUAAUAACGAAGAGUACCUCCCCCUACUGAAAGCACAUUGUCCUCAAUGUGGACGAAAAGAAAUAAAUAGGCAGAAAAGUUUAGAAAAACUCCCCAUGUUGUUACUGUCGAUCGCAUAUGAUGGCAAUGAGCUCGGUCAGUUGCUGGCCAAAGGUUUCAAGUCAGGCUUCAAUGCGCUCUAAGCGUUGCUCAACGAUUUUCUUUGUAUUUUCGCUCUGUUUAAUCUAAGCAAAAAAAAUAUUAAUAUCCAAAUAAGUAAUAAAUAAUAAAAUAAAAUGAAGUAAUACAUAAAGUAAAGAAAGAAAAAUAAUAAUAAUAAAUAAAAAUAAAAAUUGGGUUGCCUCCCAACAAGCGUUUGUUUAACGUCGUUAGCUCAACGUCGUUAUUGGUUCUAUGGUGGUUCUAAAUGGAUUUUCUUAACCGUGUGGGCUUGAAAAUUCUCAUAAAAUGGCUUCAACCGCUGGCCAUUGACUACAAACCGCUUUCCAGAUUCUUCACUCUCUCUUUCAAUCGCUCCAUGUGUGAACACUUCAAUAACAAUAAAAGGUCCUUGCCAUCGUGAUCGAAGCUUACCUGGGAAUAACUUUAACUCGGAGUUAUAAAGUAAAACUUUUUGUCCUACUGAAAAAUGCUUCUGAGCUAUUUUCUUAUCGUGAAAUAACUUUGUCUUAUCUUUAUAAAUGCGAGCAUUCUCGUAGGCAUCAUUGCGAAUUUCUUAUAACUCUGGUGCCUGUAUAAUAGAAGGUAACAAUUUCGUAUUUGGAGAUAAUAAAGUCAUUAACAAAUUUAAAUUCAUCAAGUUCAAAAUUAUCUCCAUAAAUUGACUCAAAAUUCUCUUCCACUAAAGAGUCAAUUAUGUCAAUACGAUUUACACUCAAGAUUUCACUUGGAUGGCUAAUGGCGUCGUAGACAUUAAACUUUACGAUCUCCCCAUCAAACUCCAUCGAGAGAGUUCCACUUCGAACGUCGAUUUUAGUACUAGUUGUACUAAGGAACGGUCGACCCAGCAGGAGAUCUGAAGAUCCAGGAGUGUUAUCCUCCCCCAUUUUGAUCACAUAAAAAUCUGUAGGGAAAAUAAUCUCGUUAACUUUUACCAGAAUAUCCUCAACGACUCCUUCUGGAUGCACAACAGACUUGUCCGCCAAUUGAAUGAUAACACCUGUUUUUGUCAAAAAACCUGCGUUAAGUGAUUCAUAAAUAGAUUAUGGCAUUACAUUUAUAGAAGCACCUAUAUCACACAUAGCCUUCUUAAUUCUCAGAUGGCCUAUUUUGCAUGGUAUUGAAAACAUGCCCCUAUCCUUGCAUUUUGCUGGCAUUUUCUGCUGUAACACUACGGAUACAUUCUCACCAACAUUCACCCUUUCAUUACCUGUUAAUUUUCGCUUGUUGGUGCAAAGCUCUUUAAGAAAUCUAGCAUACCGCAGUAUUUGCUUGAUGGCGUCCAACAGCGGAAUGUUGAUCUCGACAUUCCUAAAUGUUUCGAGGAGUUCCUUGUCCUCUUUACCUCUUUGACACUGUUGAAUCGUUCUAGAAAUAGAGGUUGAAUUUUAGGCAAUGGAGGCUUCAGUCGGACCUGUUCGUCUUUCUCGGGUUUUUCUUGGGUAAUUUCUUGACAAAGAUUUCUGUCAAGAAUUGGCUUCAGUACCUUUCCGCUUCGUAACGUCACUACAUUUGCAUUUUGUCUAGGGUUUGAUUCUGUUUGUGACGGCAGCUUCCCUUUAGAGGUCAAUUUCUCAAUCGAUGUGGUCAACUCUCUGAUGGACGCCUCGGUUUUCUGUUGGAAAUCCUUCGUCUCUUUUUGGAAAUCAAGAGUUUGCUGUUGAAAAUCAAGAACAUUAGCUGCUAACUUAUUGACCAUGGUUUCUAUAAAAUUACCUGAACCUUGCGGCUUGUACAAGCCCAUUUUGCCCGGCCCAUUACAAACCCAUCGUAAACAAACCCAAUUAACCCAAACAAAAAUAAUUAAACCCAAGCCCAAUUACAACCCAUUAUCCAAACAAAAAUACACCGACCCAACUACCCAAGGCCCAAUUUCCCCAAAAAAGAUCUGCCUAGGGUUUCAGAAACUGAAACCCUAAGCGCCGCAUCUACCCAAUUGCAUCUACCGCCGCCUGCAACCAUGCGCACUUGCCACCAUCACGGUCACAUCGCCACCGGCUCCACUGACACCUGCAAAACAGCAAACCAAACACGCAACAGUGAAGAAAUAAAAAAAUAGAAACAAGUUGUAAGAAAUGGCUAUAAAAAAGCCAUUCAAAACCAUUGUAAAGGCCCCUAUCUUUCACGAUUUGAAGAAAUAAAAGAAAAAAAACAGAUCCGAAAAACCCUUCUUCGGUAUAAGCUCUAUUUUCUCUUUAGUUUUCUUCCUUUCGUUUGCAAUCAAUUUUUUUAUAUUUUUAUUUUUGUUUUAUUUUUAAACAACAUAUAAACAAAAAAAAGCAAAAAAAAUACUGGACAUUGCCCAGAGGGUAAACAAAAAAGGGAGAGGAUUCUGGUUUCUUUUUUGAGAAAGAAGAGAAAAAAUGAGCUUUUUCUAAAAAAACUUUAACUUUUAUACUGUUAACAAAACGACGUCGUUUUGGGCUUGGGCACCAAUAGCCAAAACGACGUCGUUUCGUGCUCGACCCGAUCCAGCCAACCCGCCUGCCCAAGGGGAUCCGCGUGUUUUUGAUGGAAGGGAUAAUUACACGUUUAGCCCUUCCGCUUUUUGAUGCUUUUAAAAUUAGGUUCUUUUAAUCUUUCGAAUUUUGCCUAGAAAUUUUUUUGUGUUUUCAAUUUAAUCCUUACCCGAACUACAUCGUUUUGAAGGAAGGGCAAUUUGCUUUGCUGGUCCCUCCAUGUUUUGUGCGUAUUCAGAGCAGUUCCGCCCUUUUCGUUUAUUUGCGUUUUGAACCCCCGAAUCUUGUUUUAAUGUUUAAUCUAAUCAUUUUGCUAUUUUGUUUGUUUUCCUAACAAAUUUCAUAUUAUUAUUAUUAUUAUUAUUAUUAUUAUUAUUAUUAUUGCUUAUAUAUAUACGUAUAUUUUUUUAUAUUUAAUAUAUAUACUUGUACACAUACUUUUUUUUGUAAUAUAUAUAUAUAUACAUAUAAACAUACCUAUUUUUAUAAUUUAUUUAUACAUGCAUAUAUAUUUAUAAUACACGUACAUAUUUCUAACUUUUAUAUAUAUAUAUAUAUAUAUACACGUCUUUUUACAUAUAUAUUUUUAUUACUUUUUUUUCAUAAUUUUUAUAUAUACUUAUUUACAUAUUUUUUUAUUUAUUUUCAUGAAUACAUACACAUACUUAUAUUUUUUUAUGUAUAUAUUUCCAUAUAAUUUACAUAUACAAACUCAUAUUUUUAUAUAUUUUAUAAUUCAUACAUGUACAUAUUUGUAUACUUUAUAGCUUAAAACUACCUAUAUAUAUCUAUAUGCAUUUUUAUAAAUACAUGUAUAUAAAAACAUACUUUUAUACAUCUUUCAUAAUAUAUAUACGCAUAUGUGUAUGCAUUUGCUUGCUUACAUGUUUAUUUACAAUAAUUUUAAAAUGUAUUCAUAUAUAUGUAUCUUUUUUACAUUUACAUUAUCUUAUUUAUUUCUUUUUGUUUAUUUCUUUAUUUGUAUUCAUAUUAUUUAGAAUGAAUGCUUUAAUAUUAUUGUUUGCAUGUUUGCCAUGGUGUAUUAUAUUAGUUUGUCUUUUUACUUAUUUUAUAGCCUUUGUUUUUAUGUUACUUAUAUUAUCAUCUUUAUCAUUGUUUUACAUCCAUUUUCACUUGGGUUUGCCAAAAAAAUGAAAAAUUUUAAAAUAUAAGUAAUAUUCGGUAUUUUGGAUCUUCGAGAGAAUCGAGCCCUAACGUAUUGGGUUCCGACUUUCUUCGUUGGAUUUAAAUAAUCGAGAUUACUCUUUUAAAAAAUGAUAAAAGACUCAUUAUCGAGAAUUCAAUAUGUUGUGUCCUAACGCAUUGGAUAUGACACGUUGCUUUCCUGAGAUGAGGAUUUUUUCUAAAAAUUAAUAAAUGCAGUAUUUUGUAUUUAGAUUUGAGAAAGGUGUGCCCUAACUUACUGGGUUUCGAUUUUCACAAUAAAUCUAAACACGUGAAUAUUUUCAAACUCAAGUUUUUAACAAUCUCGGGAAUUAAGAAAAGAUCGUGUCCUAACUUACUGGGCAUGAUCCCUUUUCUAAACCCGAGAUAAUUAAACAUCUUUUAAAUAAGUAAAUUUUGACAUUCAUUCGCAUAUCGGGAAUUCGAGACAUUGUGUCCUAACUUACUGGAUAUGAUGCUUUCUUUCUCGAUUAACGUGGAAUGUGCCUCUUUUCCCGAAAUUUUCAACAUUUUAAUACCAGGAUCGUAUUUUUAAAUUUCUUUAAAGUUUUCAGUUUUUCGACACUAAGACAUUAAGUAAUCAACUAGGUACCAAUUUUGGGCGUAUCGAGGGUGCUAAUCGUUCCUCGUGCGUAACCGACUCCCGAACCCGUUUUUCUAAAUUUCGUGGACCAAACUUGUUGUUUUAAUAAAAUCAAACCGUUUAUUAAAAACAACCACUUUUUGAGGUGAUCCAAUCACACCUCAUAAAAAAAGGAUUGGUGGCGACUCCCGUUUCAUUUUUCAAAACCCAAGUCGACCCCGUUUUCAUCCAAAAAAUGGUGUCAACAAGGCUGUUGCAGAAAUCGAUUUUGGUAUGGCUGGUUAUUUUGUGGAUUGGCCCCAUAACUUAAGUUAGGAUGGUCUCUCCACCCUGGGUUGUAGGUAUUAGCGUAGGGGUCGUAUUGUCUUUGUGGUGGCCCAAGAAAAUUUCCCACAGCAUCCAGAUGGGUCAUGGUAUCAUCAUACAAAUUGGGACAUGCAUUAGUUGCAUGAUCAAGUGUAGCACAUAUUCCGCAUAACCGGGUUGUCUUUGCUUUUUCUGCAAUAAAAGAGUUUAUCAUAUUAGUAAGUCUAUCAACUUUAUCCUCUAAGGUUGAAUUACUUAGCUGGUGAACCCUUCUAGGGGGUUUAGUAUUGGCUCGGAACUGCUAAGAAUUUGCAGCCAUUGUGGAGAUCAAGUCUCUCGCUUGUUGGGAAGUCAUGUUGACCAAUGCUCUUCCACUAACGGCGUCUACCAUAUUCAUCUCCAUGGGCUUCAAACCUUCGUAAUAGUAUUAGAGGAGAGUUGCUCCGUUAUACCAUGUUGUGGGCAGCUUGCACACAAUUUCUUAAACCGUUCUCAAUAAUCGUAAAGGGACUCAGCUUUUUUUUGUCUUAUUCCAACGAUCUCUCUUUUUAGCUCAGCUGUUCGAGACGCUGGAAAAAACCUGUUCAGAAACAAACGAGAUAGAUCAGCCCAAGUUGUAAUAGAUCCAGGAGGUAAAUAAAAUAACCAUUCCUUAGCGGAAUCUACUAGGGAGAAAGGGAAAGCACGCAAUUUAAUAUGAUCCUCAGUUACCCCCUAAGGUUUCAUGCUAAGACAAACCAUAUGAAACUCUUUCAGAUGCUUGUGGGGAUUUUCAUUUUGUAACCCACGAAAACUUAGCAGUAACUAGAAUAAACCUGACUUCAACUCAAAAUCAGUAUCCACAGUAGGAUACGCGAUGCACAAUGGCGGUUGUUCUGUCGGAACUUCGGCCAGUUGCCGAAUCGUUUGAGCCAUUGGUUGGUGUGCUAGAUUCGGGUUUUCGUUAACCCUAGCGUUAACCACUUCUUCUAGUGAGUCGACUUCUAUUUUUUCACUUUCAAGUGUUCGAGUAGGGUUUUCGUUAACCCUAGACUCAGCUUCGUCGUCGACUUCAAUUUCUGGCAAUGGGUUACUUUGAGUUCCAACCACCGCUGACUGUUUUUCCGUAACUUUGUCUUCUUGCGAUUGGCUCUAGCAAUCUUCUCAAUUUCUGAAUCGAACACAAAAGUAACUAGAGCAGAUCUGGUCAUAAGAAACAAAAAACAAGAUUACUACGUUGCCAGUCCCCAGUAACGGCGCCAAAAUUUGAUGCGGUCAUUGAAAGCACCAAAAAUAUCCUAUCCCUAAUAAAUAAUGAAAAAGAAUAGUAAAAGAGAAGUAGGGUCAAAUCCUUAGGGACUGGAUUUGCACAAUAUCUUAUUUCGUGAAAUCCCAGGCAGAAUCUUACCCAAGAAAAUCUGCAUUCUUGAAAAAAAAAAAAGAAAAUAACAGAAUUAAAGGUUUGGAUCUGGAAACGAAAAAUAAAAUAAAAACAGAAUUAAGAAUAUUGAAUCAAAAAUUUGAGAAAUUAAAAAUAGAGUUGAAAGAAAGAAAAUUCUUAUGGGAGAUUCCAGCCUCCAGUUGUCUCGUUCUGCCUUGGGUUCAAUCCUCGGCUUUUAGAUAAUCCUUCCCAAACAGAAUAAGCCAGUUAUAGUGGAAGAGGACGCCUACGACCACCAGCUCCAAGGAUUUAGACUUACGAUUUGGUGGAAUCCGACUCUAGCCAACAAUCGCUUCUAUGGGAUCAUCUUAUGCUAGAUCAACGCUUCUCAAUGGCGAAUCCUACGCCAUUUUGUCUCUUGGGCUCGCCAACCUCUGACGCAGUAAGCUAACGAACCGACUGUGCAACCUUCCCAAAACAUACAAAGCGGCCGCCUUUGCAUACGUUGAAAAGCUUACUUCUUAAGGGACAUGGACGAAAGCGUCAGCCCCGUAGUGCGGAGAAACGAUGAACACUCGUUAAGAAGGCUAAGUACGGAUUCUAAGCCUUAUGAACCCUUUUGGGGAUUUUCGACAACCUUUGGCUAGAUGGGUUUAGUGGCUCAUGGUUGUGGUAGAAAAGAAAAUAAAUAAAAUAAAAAUAGAGAUUUUAUUAAAAGGAAAUAUGAUAAGAACAAAAGCCUAGACUUUUGAGGAGAGAGUGUUUACAGAAAAAGAUGGGAUUCAUCUCUUUUGAGUCACUUCACCCUCUAUUUAUAGUGCUAGGGGAGAUAGUCUAAUCCUACUUAAAUUCUUAAAAGAUAAAUACAUUUAAUUGAAGAUAAAUAAAGAUAAAUAAAAUAAGAUCCUAAAAAGAAUCCUUAAUAAUUAUCUCAAAUAUUAAUUAUCCUAAUAUAAUUAAAAUAGAGUUUAAUAGAAUAAAAUUUCUUUUUUUGCAUUUCAACUCUUGUGUCCUCCAUGCUUGCACUUUUGGCACCAACUUUUCCUUGUGUCGCACAUUGGCCUAUUUUAUCUUUAAAUUGACACUUUUGGCCUUUAAUUUUGCUUUUGCCUCAAAUUUAGACCCUAUGAGAUAAAAUAUCAUAAAUAGCUCAAAUUAGUAGGAUCAUACUCAGAAUAAAUACAUAAUUAAUACAUAAAAUACGUUAUUCUAGAGUGUUAUCAGGGGCAUGAAAAUAAAGAGACUUACAUAAAUUAUUUGCAUAAUACAAAAUCAGUCUUUAAUAUUUACAUAUUUUAUUAAUUUAAGUUUUAUUUUUAUUUAGUUAAAUUUGACUUUAAACCCUUUAAAAAAAGUUGAAUUUGAUCAUCAACCUUUUAAAAAGAGUCAAAUUAUUAUUUAACUGAAAUGUUAACUUUUGAAAUACAUAUAUCAAUUCGUGUGUAUUUCAUAUUAUUUUUUUAAAUUUUUAUGAUUUUUUUUGAAAUUUUGUUUUUUGAAUAUUAUUAGAAAAUUAUUUGGUACAUUGUUAGUGGAGUCUUUAAACUCCACUAACAAAAUCAAUAGGUUAAUAAGAUUCUUACAGAGGUACAAUAAAAUAUUAAAAAAUAUAUAUUUUAAAAUAUAUAUAUAUGUUAAUUUUUUAAAAUUACUUGUGGAAUAAAAAUAAUAUAUUAUUGGCGUACCAAAUACUCACCUUUUUAAUUAAGAUUUACUUGUGGAAUAUUUUUUUUUUCUUAAAAAGAAGACAUACGAAAGUUAGUGACUUAUUUGAUUUAAUUUUGAUUUUUAAAUUUAUGCAUUUUAUUAUGAACUUUUAUUCUUUGUGUACUCUGUAAAAUUUGUCUGAAAUUUCCAAUUUUUAAUUUCUCACAUGAGUUUGAGAUAUAAAAAAAAUUACUCUUAGAAUUGGUGAAACAGGGUUACAGUCGAUACAAGAGUUCAAUUUAUGAUACGUUGAUGAUUUUGUUCUUCGAAAUAUUGUCUACAGGUAGGAUAUCAGAGUUCUAUUAUUAGAGUUCCGUUAAAAAGUCGAAAGUUCUAUUUUGGCCUAAGACUCUAGGAGUUCUGUUAUCGAUAUUCUAAUUAUGAUCAUGAUCUAUAAAAAAUAUGAGUAACCAGUGAUACGUAAAUGAAAAUUUUUAUGAUAUGAUAAGUCAUAAAUUAAGUGAAAAUGCAAGAAAGUCUAUGAUUAUAUGAAAGAUAAAAAUAAUUAAUUUAAUUUAAUGAUCUGUAAAAUUGAUCUGUAAAAUUGAAAAGUGAAAUAAAUGAAUUAUGUAAGAGAAUGUUCAUGAUCAAUAUGUGGUAUGUAAAUGACAAGGAAAAAAUUAUAUGACCAAAUACUAAAAUAAAUGAAUAAUGAAAUUAGCUAAAUACUUUGUAAGUUCAAUAGUAGGUAGCAUUAAAUAAAUAAAAUUAUGUUAUUUCAUAGUAUAAGUAAUUUUUUAAUUUGUUUUAAUUUAAAUUAUUUAAAACAUGCUAAAAUAAAUGAAUUGUUAAGCUAAUUUAGUUAGAUACUUACUAUCACGUUUGUAGAAGGCAAAAACAAUAAAGAUUCAAAUAAUUCCGCUUAAAUUUGGACCACUUCACUCCUCAAGCUUCAAGUUCAAGCUCUUUGAUAUAUAAAUUUUGGACCUUAAUUUGGCAUGUACUUAAGCUUAUUUGUAAUAAUGUGAAUUAUGUACGAAAGAUAAUGUUUUGUGUUAUAAAGUACCUCGGUUAUAAUGAAAUAAGAAUAAAUUGAAGUGACGAGUUUAGUGUUAAAUGUAGCAUCUCUUGUUCAAAUUUGUUAUCGGAUCAGGUGAGAGGUGUUACAGCUAGAAUAAAAAUUACCCUUUCUUUUUUCUUAAGAUAGAUGUUUUUUUUUUUAUUAAUUCGUACAUAAAAUGAUAUUUUUAUUAAAAUAUUAAAUUCGAAAAAGGAAUUUAAGAAAAAAAAACAUUUUAGCCAACAACAUAUUCUUUGUAGGAUCAAAAACAUUAAUGCAAGAAACUUAAAACAAGGAAUCAAAAGUCUAGAACAAGCAAUCAAACUUAUUUUAUAUGAUCCACCAAUAAAAUUUUAGAAUAUGAUAAACAAGCAAUCAAAUAUUAAGUGCACAAUUUUAGAUUUACUGUACAAGAGCCGAGAAUGAGAAAGCUAUCACAUCAAAUGGCUUCCUACAAUUAAUUAAACCGUGUUGCAGUACCUCUCUGGUAUCAACUUCCCUUGUAAACUUCUAUAAGCUGUCACUUCAAUUACCUUCAUCAACUUGCAGCUCCAAUCUAAAUUGUAGAAAACCAAUUGAUAACGAAUUCACAAUCCAUGGCUUGUGGGAUCAUAAUGCUAAUAACAAAUCAAUGUCUCGUUAUGAUUCACGUAAUCCGUACACCAGUGGAUAGGUGCAAGGAUUGUUUGAAUCAUAAGGGAGCAUUGAUUUGUUCUUAAUUAGCAUUAUGUGUCCAUAUACCAUGGAUCGUGAACUCAUUAAGAAUUGGUGGUCUACAACUCAGAUUAGAGCUAUAGGCUAACAAAGGCCAUUGAAGAAAAAGCUUACGAAAAUUACAAGCGAAGUUGAUGCCGGUAGGGGUGCUGCAAAUGCUGCUCAAAAUGAAAAGAGAAGAGCAAGAGGAGUACUCUCUCUCUCUCUCUCUCUAUAUAUAUAUAUAAGUAUAUACUCUUCUCCAUGCUGCACAUUAGUGCAAAAAAAGAAAACACACAAGGGACCAAUCUUAGAUCUUUGCAAAGGUCAUUUGAGAUCAAUGGAGAAGAACAAGAAAAACAAAGGUGAGGGGUUUGAAGAAAGAGCCAAAUAUAUAAAGGAAAAUUUGAGAGAGAGGAUGGGUUUCAUUUAAAGAUUAAAUGUUUCUUUUUUGGUAAAAACAUUUCUUUGGUCCCUCUCAAUUUUGAUGUUGAGCAAUUUGGCCCCUUUCUAAAAAUUUUGGAGAAAUUUGAUCAUUGUUUUUUGAAAGUGAGCAACUAAGUACAAUUAAUCACAACGUUUAUGUUUUUCAUCACUUCUACAAUUUUUUCUUCGUAUAAUAAAAAAUAUAACCUUCAAAGUUUGCACAUUUUGUCAAUUUGAUCUUAAUAUAACAAAUAUAACUCAUAACAUUUUCACAUUCCAUCAAUUUGGUCCUGAUUUAACAAAUUUAGUCCGUAAUAUUUACACAUUUUGUCAACAGUUACGCGGAAUAUAUAAACAUCAAUGGCUAAAUUUAUUAUUAUACCAAUCAAAAUUAUGUAUAAUCGAUGGAAAAUAUUAAAGCUAUGAUUAAUUGUCCGUAGUUACUCAUUUUUAAAAUUGACAGGAAUUAAAUUGUUCUAAUUUUUUAAAAAGACCGAUUUACUUAAUAUCAAAAUUGAAAAAAAUCAUAAAGAUAAUUUUACUUUUCUUAAUUUAGUAGGUAAGAAAAAUUAAAAUCAUUGAAAAAAAAAAGUAAGUUCUAUAUAAUUAUUUAGUCACUCUCACAUUAUUAUUUUUCCCAUUCAAAGUUGAAGUCUUUUAUGUGAAAAAUAGUAUAGCUCUUCAAUUUGGGUUAACAUUUUGGUCCCCGCCAUGUGAUGUGAAGGAAAAUUGACAACAUCACAUAAUCAAAUCAUUUUUUUCUGCCAUACCCUUGUGCCUCCGAAGAAAGUUAAAUUAUUAAGGCACAAAAGUAAAGAGAGAUACAUAUUUUUUUUAUUUUUUUAUUUUUAAAAUAUUUUUAAAAUACUUUUUUUAAAAAUAAAUUUUAGUGUUUAUUAAAAAAAUGGGCUGGGCCGGGUCGAGCUCGGGCUUAUAAUUUUUUUCUCGGAUCGGAUUUGGAUAAAAUUUUAGGCCCAUAUUUCGGGCCGGGCCAAAGCCAGGCCUAAUUGACAUCACCAGCUCAUUUUUCAACCACAUUACUCAAAUUGAGGUAAAAAUAAUUUAUAAAUGUAUUUCUUUUUUGUUCGAGUAUAAUUUGUAUUUAUUUCUAGCCAUUUUUAUAAAGUUAUUGUUUAAAAAAGGGGUAAUUAUCAAAUUUAUCUAUGAUUUUGAUCCAAUGUACAAUUUGAUACAAACUUUAAUUUGGUGCAAUUAUACACAUAAAACUUGAAUUGUAGUCAUAUGAGCACAUGAAACUUUGAUUUUGAUUCAAUUAUAUGCAUUUAAUGAAUGUAUGCGUUUAAAAAAAUGAAUACAUACAUUUAUUUUCAUAUUUGAUUAUAUACAGGGGCGAAACCAGAAAAUUUUGUAAGUGGGCUGAAAUUAAAUUGUAAUUUUUACGAUAGCAAAGAUGUAAUUUCACCAUUUUAAUGGCCUAUAUCUUUAUAAUUUUUAAAUGAUUAAAUCAAAUUUUAUAUUUUUAGGGGGACAAAGUACAAUUUUACCUUUACUAAUUUAAAAUUUUAAAAUGCCUAAAUAGAAAAUUCACCAUUUUAGGGGGACUGGGACCCCUGCCAGCCCCCUAGUUUCGCCCCAGAUUAUAUAAUAGUUUGUAUAUGCAAUAUAUCAAUGUAAAAUUGUGCUAAUUCAAUAAUAUUGUUAGUGAUUUCUAAAAAUUGAAUCAAAUCAAUAUUUCAUGUAUAAAAUUGUACAAAACCAAAGUUCAUAUACGAUAUAAAUAAAUAAAUAAAAAGUUCAUAUAUAACAAUAUACAUUAAAUCAAAAUUUAUAUAUAAUUUUGAUAUUUAUCUCAUUCUUUAUUAAUUAUAACGUGUGAACGAGGUGAAUCCAAAUUUUGUCAUUUAUUUUCCUAUCAUCUUUGCGAAAUAAAUUUCAACUUAAGAAGGAAAAAAUAAUUAACAUUUUCAAAUUCCAUCAGGAUAGACAUGUUCAUAGGCCAGGCUCUCGACUUAGGUUCGAAAGUUCACUCGAAUUUUGGGAGGGUUUGGACAGAAAUAUCAUGCCCAAAAAAUAGACUCGAGCAAAAAAAAUAGACCCGUUUAAAAUAUGGGUCGAGCUCAGGCUUGAAUAUUCAAGGCUCGAUCCUUUUUAAGUUUAUAACUUUUGAUAUUAUGUUAUUUUUAUAUAUUAUGUAAUUUAGAACACAAUAAAAAGGUAAACCUAUAAUAAAUAUAUAAUACUACUCUAAUGUAGAGGUGUCCAUGGGCCGGGCCGGGCCAGGUUUAGGCCGGGCCCAAAGAAAAUUUUUAGCCCACUUCCUAGGCCCGGCCCAGGGAAAAAAUAUGGAACCCGAGCCCGGCCCUGCCCAGCCCUUUUUUAAUUAUAAUUAAAAUUAUAUUUUUAUUAAAAUUAAAACUAAUUGUUAUCAAAAUUAAUUGUUAUUAAAAUUGUAUCAUUUUUUUUUGUACUAGUCAACAUUUUGUAAAAUCUAACAUUUUGUUAGUAAAAUUAUUAAUUGUUAAUUGUAUUAAUUGUUACUAAAAUUAUCAAAUUAUUAAUUAUUAAUUUUUACUAACAUUUUGUUAGUAAAAUUAUUAAUUGUUAAUUGUAUUAAUUGUUAGUAAAAUUAUCAAAUCAUAUCAAAUUAUUAAUUGUUAAUUGUAUUAAUUGUUGUAACAAAAUCUAACAUUUUGUAACUUAAAACUUAAAAUAAAACUAAAAUUAGUAUAUUUUAAAAAUAAAAAAAUAUAUUUAAUAUAUUUUCAGGCGGGCCGGGCCGGCCUGGGCUAAAAAUUUUGCCCGAAGCCCGGCCCAUGGACACCUCUACUCUAAUGUAAACAUUAAAAUAAUGUUAAAAUGACUAUAUAAAAAAUUUCAAUAAAUAAAAAAUAUAUAAAAUUAUUAAAUAUUAAAAUAAUAUAAUAUAAAUACUUUUAAAAAUUAAAAAAUAAUAUAAGCAAACCUAAAAUGGAUUUAGAUUAGUUUUUUGUAAAUAUGGCGCAUGUUUUGAUAAAAUUUUAGGCGCAAGUUUCAAGCCGGACCGAACUUAAACAAAUAUAAAGUAUCUUAAUAUUAUGCUUAAGCCGACCCAUCAACACUUCUACAUAAAGAUAAUAUAGACGGAUAGAUGUAGUUUAGUUCCACAAGUUCAAGCUUCAAAUUAAUACGAGUGUAUUAUUAGAAGUUUUCGUCCUCUGCAUUACUUGUUAGUUUAUGUCUUUUAAUUCAUUGAGAUGCAACAAGCAUGUAUGGAUGUCCAUCUUCAACCAUAAUUGUCUUCUAAAGAACUUUAUAAGGGAAGCUAUGCCACUCUAUUUAAGGGUUGGUUUUGGAUAUUAAAGUGUAAUUUUAUAAUUAUAUUAAUUUAAAUUUUUUUAAAUUUUAAAACGUGUAAAUGGCAAAUUUACUAUUUUCGGGGGGUCAAGGCUAUUGCCUCCCCUUGUCUUUGCCCUGCUAGUAGUUGACUACCACAGCCUUAUACGGUAAUACUCUUAUCGAAUAUAAAGCCUUGUUUAAAUGGAGAUAUUCAUAAGAGGAAAAAUACCAAAUAAUGCAAGCUCGCCCAUGCUUGGUCACUGUGACCCCCUUUGUGAGGAGGCACCUCUUCUCCCAAAGUUAAUGGUUAUUUUGUCAAGUUCCUUAGAGAGAGUUGUCUAACGCCCCUAGGUAUUCUCUACCGACCCACUUGUGUCGGUUUUGGGUACAAGUACCCUUUUGUUGAAGGUCGUUCAAGCUUUUCCUGGGAGUAUAGCAUGGGUUAUUUCAAUGUCAUAGCCUAGCACUCGAACACUGGCUUGAGACAUUUUCUCUACCCCUUCUUAUCCUGAAAAAGCAGGGGCACCUUAGAUCCUUAAACCAAUAACCAUUGCGGCUAACCUAGCUAUACAUCAUAUAAUUAAAAAGAUGAUAAGUUAAAAGAAAUCUACUCGGUGUUUGAAUUUUUAUUGAUUGGAAUAUGGUACAUUAUAUAAACAACAACGAAGAUGCAUAUGAUUUCUUAGAGUUUUCAUGAAAUAAUAAUUUUUACCAUUACCAGAAAGAAAUUAUAAUUUUGACUUCCACUAACAAUUUCAUAAAAUAAUAAUUUAUCAAUUCAAAAUUAUUCAAAUACAAAUUCAAAAUAUUUGAAUCAAAAUUAAAUUGGAGCUCCUCACUCAGGCUUCUACUUUUGUGCAUUGAUAAUUCAGUGGCAGCACUUCCCCCUUGCCUUAAUUGUUGAAAAUUGAAUAAAAAUUGUACCUUUCAUUUCCUUCCCUCAGACAAGUUGUUCAUUGUUGCUCCCACUCUUCAGUCUUCUCUAAAAUAAUGUAGGAAUCCCAAGUCACUAUAAUUAGGUGAUGAGGAUGGUACUUACUUAUUUUCCAAAAUCAGGGUAUUUAUCGUUAAUAAUAGUGAUUGAUUUUUUUGUUGCGAAUUUGUACAAGAGCUUAUGUAAGAGUUUAAUAUAGUUCAAUGAUUAUUUUAUAAUUUUUUAAAGUUAAAUAAUCAAAAUAGAAACUAAUUAACAAUUUAGCUAGAGAGCUUACACGUAGUUUACCCAAAAACAUAUCGAUAUGAUCCCCCAUUGGAGUCCGAAGCCAAAGCUCACAAAUUGGGUUAACAUUUGACAUUUGGGGUUUCAAAUUGAGAAUUAAUUGAAAUAGAUAACAAUUAGCAAUUAAUUGAGAAUAAACAAAUUAUAUUCCAUAUUCUGUAGUAUUGAAUAUAUAUCUCUUUUUUAUUCAAUUAAUUUCUCCAACUCAAAUUUAGCAAAUUAUUAUGGUAUGAGAUUAUAAGAAUGGUUUUUGGAACUAAAUCAGUGAGUGAAGUUGUAAAAUUACUGAUUUUCGAUUUAAUUACUUUAAUCAUUGGUCUAGUUUCGAUUAAAAAAAUUUAUAAAAAAAAUUAUUCAUGAUUUAGCCCAUAAAUUAUAUAUAUUCUCUCACUUUAGUCUAGUUUAGACUUGUCUAUGGCCCGGCUCGAAUGUCCACCUGAAAAGCGAGAUGAUUUAGGCAAAUAUAUAUGCCUAAAAAAUUGGUCUAUAUAAAAAAAUAAUGCUCAUUUUCUAAAUAGAUUGGGCCUUAGGUAAUCUUUUCUUGCUCAAUCCGGCCCGAAUUUGUAAAAAAAAAAAAAACUAUUGUUGCUUUUUUAUUAUUUUAUCAUUGUUUUACUAUCAUUUCGUUAUUAUAUUGUUACUAUUUUGUUAUUAUUAUUUGAAUAAUGUAUAACUCUUAUUUUAUUAUUAAUUUUGCUACUAUUUUAGAGGUAUUUGCUUAUUAAGUUGCACUUAUCUUAGUGUUUUUUAAGUUUUUUUUUAAUUUCUAUUUGUUGAGAAACAUUUAUUUCAAUUUUUUUAGUGUAUUUGAUGUAUUAUUAUUUUAAAAUUUAUUUUUAUAUUAAAAAAUAUAUAAAAAUUAAUACGGGCGAACUAGGCUGAAUUUGGGUUUUAACAUUUUAAUCUAAGUUGGGCCUGGAUAAAAUUUUAAACCUAUUUUUCGAGCUGAACAGAGCUCGGGCUGAAUUUAAGUUUUUUUAUACCUUAAAUCUAAAAUUUUUAAAUAAUUUAUUUAAUAAAAUCGAUUAAAAUAAGGGUUUCGACUCAAAUCAUGAUGAAUUGAGCCAUCGAACUUGAGAAAUUAAAAUGUGAACAGCAAUGGGCUCUUCAAAAACCCUUACCCUAGCACAAGAAGAUCCCCAAAAAGUUUCAACUUAUAACCCUAAUUUGCCUCUCAACUACACUAUAAAUCCUAUCUUCAACAAGAAUCAUUUAACAUUUGUAUCUUCUAAAAAACCCUCUUUCGUCUAAGGUUUUUCUUUAGAAAUUUUCCCUUCGCAGAGAGUAAUUUUUGCCUUCAUUUUUUUUUUCUCUUUGUUUUCCCAUUUUCAAUCUGGGGUUUUUUUUCCAGAAUGAGUUAAAAAUCCAAUCUUUACACUAGAUGUGAACCCUAAUCCCAUUUAUUUUAUCUGGGUUUUGAAUAAAAUCUGCACUUGUUUGUAUACUUAUGAAAUAAAGGAACCAUUUUUAAUGCAUUGUUUCUUAACAAGAGUGCAGAAAUAAAAAGCUUGAUUUUUUGCUUCUUUUAAAACAAAGAAACCAAGGAUUAAGCAGCGGCCAGACAACCGUAGCGAUGGUAUCCACAGAUGAAGGGCUAAGUUCUUUUUUAAUCCCUUUUUUGUCUACUGAUUCCAUCUCACAUUUCGUUUUUUAAAAUUUUUAGGGUUCAUCACUUUUGAAUUGAUUGAAAAAGCUUUAAUCAAAGUUGAAACUUAGGUGAAAAAAUGGGUUUUUUUUAUAUGAUUUUACCAUUUUCAAUGCUUUUUUAUGUUUUCUCAAUUUGUAAAAUCAAAUGAGAAACAACUCAAAAGAAAAAACACGACAUUAAUCUAUCAAUCAAUCAAACUGAUUUUGAUUUGAUCAGAUAAAAAAUCAUUAAAUAUCAUAUUCAUGGGAAUUGCAGAAUGCAGAGGUUUACUGUUGUAAUUUUUACGAUAUAUUGUCAGAUAUCUUUUACAUCUUAAUAUAUCAUUAACUAACAUAAACAACGCACCUAAAAAUCGAAAAUCGUAAAAGUCAAAUUUUUUAAACAGGUUAAAUUUUGAUAUUAGUCCCUAUAUUUUGUUAAAGUUAUGAAUUUAGUCCCUAUAUUUUUUAAAUUUUAAUAUUUUAGUCUUUAUUAAAUGAUAAUUGUUAAAAGUUUUGUUAUUUUUAAAAUCUAUUGCUUAAAAUAUAUUUCUUAUCAAAAAUUUAAUUAAUAGAUUAACAAUUGUUAUUUGAGUUGAAAAUGAAAUUUUAAAAAUCGCGACUUAAAAUUAUUCAAUUAAAACAUAUGGACUAAAUCUACUACUGUACUUACAAUAUAUAACUAGCAAUUGAAUUUAAACAGUCAAGAUUUAACGGUAACUAUUUGUGUAAAGACUAAAAUUUCAAAAAGUUUAGAGACUAAAUUUGACCAAUUUGAGAAGUACAAGACUAAAACUAACCAAAUUAGAGUACAAUGACUAAAUCCAUAAUUUUUAUAAAGUACAAGGACUAAUAGAAAAUUUUAACCUUUUUAAUAAAGCUAUUUUGAUUUUUAUUAAUUUAUUUAUAUAUCUUUAGCUUUGGUAAAUAUAAUAUUUUUAUAUAUUAUUCUGAUUUUUUAUUAUUUUUCAAAAGUUUUUACUUUUAGAAUGAAUGGGGUCUAAUUUAACCUUCAGUCCAAUUCUUACAACAUUGGUAAACACUAACAAUGCAUAAUUUAAUAAAAAUUUUCAAGUAAUCUAUAAAAAAACACUCAAAUUAAGUAAAUUAAACACACAUUUCAUUUUAAAUUAAAAUUAUAAAUAUAAUAUAUGUUAAAAAAUAAAGAUAAAGUAUCAUCAAAGCUGCGGGCUGCAAUCUUCCCAAGCCACUUCAGCCCCCAUUACUUCACCACUCUUUUUUUUCUCUUUUUACCAACACUCAAAAAUCAAAAUUUUACCACACUUUCCCUCAUUUUCCCGGAAAAUAAAAUAAAGAUAUUAAAACCAAACAAAAAUCCAAAAAAGGAACUCGGUGAAGAUUUAGGUUUAGACCCUGAAAGUUUUGCCAGUGAAAGUUUGACCAAAUUGCCAAUGAGAAGGAACAAUGUUCCACGAAGUAGAGGUCCGACGGUCGCUGCCGGUGACCCUAAACGACAGAGAUUGGCCGACUAAAAUGGCGUUGGAUUGCCAAUUUUGGCCCCAGUUUCUGCUCAUGCUCGUCCACUCCGUUUUCGACCCUUUAACGCUUGCUUUCACGAUAUCGCUGGCGCUGGCCACCUUUGUGAUUAGGGCCAAGUUGAAGUAUCGGAAACCGUUGAUUGUGAAUCUGAUUCCUCCUCGUUUCCGGCAUGGCACCCUGAAGAAUCAUACGAAAAAGGAAAUGAAGAUUGGGUCAAAUCUAUUGACACUAAUUGUUGAGAUGAGAUUAUCUCAACAUAUUGGUUAGACCGCGAAUCAAUUAAAGCAUCAAUUUAGAGAAAGUAACUUGAUCAAUGAACUUGAAAUUGAUACAAAUCAAGAAAAUUACCAGACAAGUUAACUCGGGAUUUGAUAUAUCUAAGUUUGAUUUUUAUUUUAUAUAAUUUUAAUUUCGGGUUUAAAAAUAAAAAGCUAAGGGAAUAUACCUUCUAAAAUAAAGAAUAAAACGGGCGCACCUUUCAGCAUGGUCGCGCCAACCAGUUGGCUUAUCCUCUGUUCUAUUGGCUAUUGCUAAUGCCUUGGAAAUUGAAAAUUCACCUUACUUUGAUUAGUGAAUGGCCGAAUAUGCUUACAAGAAUAAAUUAAGAAAUUCAACGUGGCUUAACAUACAUUUGUAUUUACUGUCACAUGAAUUUGGAUAACAAAGAUUGAGAUGGAGAGAAAAAUCAUAUCCAAUUAUGUUUAACACUAGCAUUACAUAAGCUCACACAGAUUGAAGAAAACUUCUCAUAUACAAGUAGAAGAAAUUUCCGAAUGAACAAAGCCAGUCUUCGCAUCCUAGUUGUUGUUCCAUUCAAUCUCUGUAUGCCCAAAAGAAAAUGAGUUGAUAAUAGGAAAUAUCAUUGUCGAGAAUUCAAGACUCAAGAGGGAGCGUAUAUAAUUAAUCUAUACUAUAUUGCUAUACAUAUGCCCUCAAAUAUUUUUAAAAUUAAUCGUUCAAAUCUAAAUAUAUAUUUGAAAAGAGUAUACGAUAUUAUAAAGGAUUGUAAAAAUCGAAAUAAUAUUUAAUUCUAUAUCGUCUUCUAGAAAGAACAUGAGCUAUGGUGAUAAAAUAUUGGAAUUAUUCCUCUAAUCUCAUUUAUAUCAUAAUUUAAAUUUGAAGAGCUUAUGAGUAUCGAUGAGAAAACCCACAGGGUCUUUAAUGAGGGAGUUGUUUUAAUUUCUUAAGGAAGCCUUUACAAACAGACAUAAUUAUUAAUUGAUCCAAUUUCAACAGGAUAAAGUAGGAUCAUAGGAUAAGGGCUUCGACAGAAGCAACUUUAUUCUUUUUCUCUUUAUGGGAUGGAUAAACCACAAUCGAAAUUAUAAAUUGAGGGGAAGCAAAAUAAAUUUUACCCAGUUUUGAAUACGUCGUAAUACUAAAAAGCUUUUAGAUAUACUUUUUCUUUUAAUACCUAAAUUUAUUUUUGUCUAUAUUUAAAAAUAUCAAUUUUUUCUAUUUUUAUUUAUUUUGUAACAGAUAUUAAAAAAAGUUAUUAGAUAACUAUGAUAAAUGAAAAAGUGUCAUAUGACAAAGUUUUGGUCAAUAAAAAAAGUUACGGAGAAAUUUAAUUUAUUUAAAAUAAAAAUAUUAAAUUUAAAUUUAAAAAGUUAUAAUAUUAAAUAUUAAAAUAUUAAAUUCAUUAUCGGAUCCUGCUUUUCCGCAAGUGGUGGGAGCGUGCAUCCAUUAUUGCUUAAAAGUUAAGCUUGUAAAUUUACAAUCAAGGCAUCCAUCAUUUUCUUCAUCCUGGGUAAUGAUAAUUCGAGAUAAAUGUUCCAUUUCCAGUUAAAAUAAAAAUUUUCUCAAGUUAAUUGUUUGAGGAGUAAAUUUAAAAAUAAUAAUAAGAUUGUUUUCUAAAUUAUAAAAAUAAAGAUACAUCAAAAUUAAAAUUUUAAAAAUAUAAAAAUUUAAAAAAUUAACAUAGAAUACACGUGGAUUGCUAUGUAAGUUGUCGUGUUUAAAAAUUUAACAUUUUAAUUAGUAUUCUAUUUUUUUUUUUAAAAUCAUUUCAGCUCUUUUUCAAAACUAAUAAAUAAGAUUAGAAAACCAAAAAUCGAAUAAAGAAUCGAAAUUAACUAGAUGUUGAGGCUUGUUUUACACAGUUUCCUUAAGAUAGAUUUGUCCGCUCCUACGGUACUUGGAGAAAUGUUGGUCGACUGUCUCUCAGGAUACAACAAUACGAUGACCAAAACAGUAACACCUCUACAGAGACCAAUAAACAAACCUUGCCUUUUAAAUUUUAUCACCGGAAUGUUGGAAAAUAUAGAGAUAAAGAGAGAAGAAUUUUCAAGAGCAAAAUAAACUUUGUUUUAGAGUCUUUUAGUGUAAAAAAUUUUGAAGAAUUCUUAAGCAUUCAAGAUGGAAGAAUUUUGGAAAUAUCCAUAAUUAAAUAUACAAAGUCUGUACUAAAUGAGCAAUUAAAUCAUAAUAUAUGUCCUUUUUAAAUUAGAUUAUAUAUAUAUUUGCUGAGAAAAAUAAAUUUUGUUUGGACUUAAAAUAUCCAUAGGCCCGUUUUGGGCCUGACCGGUAUAGACAUUUCACGUUGCCCACGUCGUGCGAGCGCGCUUUAACCCCAAUGGGUUUGGAUCUACACCCCCUGUGCGUGAGACAAAGUUUCAAACUUAGUCAUCCAAUCAUCCUUUAGGUAGGUUCUCAUAUAUAAACACAUCUCAUACAUGGUAUUUAAUAAAUGUGAGAUCUAAGCUUUUUUUUCCUCAACAAAUAUUCACAAGUAACUUACUUUGAGCAUUAAUUUCUCACUUAUCACUCAACCAUUUUGAGCAUACGAUAUACUGUUGUAAAGGUAUCAUGGAAUAGAAUAUAAAAUGAUAAUUUUAUGAUUCAAUUCUCCACCUGUACCAAUUGAGAAUAUGCUAGUUUUUAAAAAUUACAAUUUUUUCAACAUUUUAUACAUCUAUUUUAAAGGUAUAAUCGAGCCAAGCAGAGCCCGAAUAAUGACAAGCUUGAACUUGUUUCGAAUAUCACUUGUUAAGCUCAAUCUUGAUUCAGAACAUAAUUGAGCUGAUUAAGCUCGUUUAUCAAAUUUUAUAAUCAAACUCAUUCAUAAUUAAGCUCUUUCUAUAUAUCAAGGAUAAAAAUAUAAUUUCAUAAAUAAAAAUAUAUUUAAAUGGAAUGCUUAAUUAGGUUUGUGGGCAACUUGAAUCAAGUAUAACAAUAUUUAAAUUCGGCUCGAUCAAUAGCUCGAGCUCUACUCAAUAAUGUUCAAUAAAAUUUUAAGAUUUUUUGAAUCCAACUCGAAUAGCUUGCAAAUAUCAAUGUAGCACUUAUACUCUUAAUUUUAAAUUUACAUUUUUAAUUCUUAAAAUAUUAUUAAAAAGUUCUUUCUUUCUAAAAAGAAACACCCAAUCAAUUGAAAGGCUUUGUAGAAAGUGGUGGCAAAGUGCAUUCUUUACUAUAAGUCUCACUAUAUCUAAAAAGAAAUUAACGCGAACCGUAGAAAGUGGUAGGAAUGUGCAACAUUAUUGCUUUAAAAGAAUUUAAAUCUUCAUAAUUUGGAGGAGUUAAAAGUGUAAUUCUUUUUACUAAUUUAAAGUUUUAAAAUUUUUAAAGAGUUAAAAUAAUAAUAUUUUAUUUUAAGAGGGUCGGGCUCCUACCAGCCCUUGGAUUCGCCUCCAUAAAUUUCAAAAUUCAAUUAAAUUAUGUUAUUUUGAAUAAAAAGUUAAUUGAUAAAGAAAUUCUUUAAAUUUCAAAAAUUCAAAUUUUAUGUUUUAAAAAAAUAUUAAAAUUUAAAAAUUAAAAUAUUAAAGUAAUAAUUUUUUUCCCAAUAUCAAUGUCUUUUUGAUACAUGCAUGAAUGUGGUGAAAUUUAUUAGAUUCCAAUUAUCAAAACUGCCAAUUUUCAGGCUUGGGAAAUCAGCAGACUUGCGACGACUGGAUCCUAGCAUUUUUGGGUUGACAUGUCCCAUGGCGUUUGAAGAUCUGUCCCUUAGCUUCGAAAUGCUUUUUGAAUCACUCGAUUUUGAGUUUGAGAGCUCAAGUUAAGACUGUUUUAGUAAAGACUGCGCGAGCAGAAUUUCUAAAUGGGUUUAUGACGGGAAUUACGAAUUUUGGGCUUUUAAUUCGAGUUUAAAUCGUAUUGGAUUCGAGUUUUAGACUUAAUUUUUAUUAUAUAUGAGCCUAAUAUUAUAUUUGUCAGAUCUUAUUAUUUUAUUAUUAUUUUAUUCUUAAUUUUUAAUAAUUAUUAAGUAUUUUAAGUUAUUUAGUAGUUUUAUGUUAAUAAGAAAAUUUAGUUUAAAACUACUUAUUGUUUAGAUUAAAUUAGAGUUCUAGUAUACUUAAGAAUUUUAUUUAGACUUAUUUAGCUAGCCUAUAUAUAGGCCUUUGCAUUGUAUACAAUUCAUUCAGUUCAUUAUUAUUCUAUUUCUCUUUUGAGUUAAUAAAUUCUCUCUGGGUUUUUCUUUUCAAGAAUUUCUCUUGAGUUAGUUUUAACAAUCUUUUUAGAUUAUAGGGAUCAUCUUCAAACUUUUUCUUACCAAGAUUUUUUUCUUGGAGGGAAAAUUAGAGCUGCUUGAAGGAAGUUGUGGAUUCUUCGUGUUUCCAAGGCUUAUUAUGACUUUUACACGCCACGUUCUAUCUUUCCAUUUAUCUUCUUUAUUCUCUUCCUUAAUCUUUGAUUUAUUAUUUUAUUUUAGUUAUUUAUUUAUUUUAAUUUUUUUAUCAGACUUGGAUUCAAUUUCGUUUCAGGUUGUGUCAAAAUACAAAUUUCUUUCCGAAUGUCUAGAGCCCUAAGUCAAAUCCGCGACUUUGACAAACUUUACGAUCCGCUUUUGCGUUCAUCCAUCUCAUCCUUUGUCAUUUGGUAUCAGGUUUGGAAGUUUUAGGUGUUCUUUUUAUUUUAUAAACUGAUUUCUAAAAAACAGCCUCAAAACAAUUUUUUACCCCUACAGUUUUCAAAAAAAUAUUUUUCAAUGGGUAAACGAUUUUUAAAUGAUUUGAAAUUUUACAUACUAUUUCUUGACUACUUUUCUUGCUUCUAUCGAUGCAGAUCCCGACAAGCCUUUAACUAUCAUGAGAAGUAAAGGAUAAAUACACUACCUUUGAUAUAAAUAUGAUUAAUUUUCCUUGAAAUAUUAAUUAUUAAAUACAUAUUAAAAUAUAGAUAUAGGAAUACAAUCUUUUAUAAUAAUCACCCACUAUAACAUCAUUUCGUUGUAAUUAUUAAAUUUUUAAUAAAACCGAUAUUAAUAUUUUAUUUUAAUCUUCUAUAACAACUUUUUCACUUAUAAUAGUAGCAUUCAUAUUUAUGAUGUAUAUUCUUUAUUAAACUAUUUCUCUAUAGCAUUGUUUUGUUUAAAUCUUUAAGUAAUAUUCUAACUCUUUUAACAUAAUUCUCAAUUUUUUUUUAUUUGAUGAAAAUUUACGAUUAGUUCCCUAUAACAAUAUAACGAGCACCAUUUUAUAAAAGAUAAAAUCUGGACAGACAAAUAAAGUAAUUUCAGUUUAGUAAAUUGUAUUUUAUUUCUGAAUUAUUUAGACUAAUUGCUUUUUAUCAAAUGGUUAAUAUUUUUCCAACACCAUGAAAAGCUGAUCUCAAUAAGUUCCUGUUUAUAAAUCAUCAGCAAAACACAAUAAUUGGCGUUGGCGAUAGUGUGUUCCUUUCUUUUGUCACCUUUUACCAUACGCGAAAAUAAUUGGCGAUAGAGUGUUGCUGUCUUUUGUCAACUUUUUAGCUGUAUCCACCAAAUGAUAAGAAUCCAUAAAGCUCCACUCUCAAGUAUUUGUGUUUCUUUAGGAUUCUAUUGUUUACAUUUUAAAUUUUGUUUAGACUGAGUUGCCCUUUGUCAAAUUACUUCUCGCAUUACUCUGUUAAGAAUAUUAUCUUUUCGCUCGGUCGUAACUGCGACAACUAUUCGCUGAAUCCUUCUCUUAUACGUUGGAAAGGUACGCCAUCUGCUUUCGUUUUGGUUGAUUUGGUCUUACUUCUUGGUUUAGAGAAGCUUUACUUUUUGCUCAUUUUAUUUGUAACUUUUUCUUCUGAUUUUGUUUUGGUCUUUGUUGUCGCUGUGGUUAUUCAGUUUACUUCUUGUCUGAUCUCUCAAUGGAGUUUGUUACUAGCCUAGUUGGCUCUAUUGUCACUAAAGCUGUAAAGUAUACGAUCUCUCCUAUCAAAAACCAUGUCAGAUACCUUUCCAAUCAUCAGCAAUAUGUUGAGACCCUCAAGGACUAUAUGUUUAGUUGGUAAAAAAAGGGAAAAAAAAAGAAGAAGAAGAAGAAGAAGAAAGAAAACCACUUUGCUUAGUUGGUAAAAGCCAAAGUUGUGAGUAUUCAAUAAUCAGAUUCGGAAUUUAGAGUGAGAGUAUAUAGAAUAUUUUCCCAUUAAAAUAUGUUUUGGUAUAAGACAUUUUAGGGCUGUUGGCUAGUCAUUUCUGAGCUGUUUCCACGAGACUUCCUUUCAUUUAAAGUAAGAUGAAGUCAUCUUUCUCAAAUCACUACUUUCUGGGUUUGCUCUGUUAAGAAAAAGAAAAAAAGACAGAUGGAGAUUGUUAUUGCCAUCGUUGGCUCUAUUGUAGCUAAAGCUGUAGAGUAUACGAUCUCUCCUAUCAAAAACCAUGUCAAAUACCUUUCCAAUCAUCAGAAAAAUGUUGAGACCCUCAAGAACCGAGCUAAUAGGCUGAAAGAUGCAAGGGACGGAGUGCAGCAUUCUGUUGAUGCAACUAAACGAAACGGUGAGGAGAUCGAAGGUGAUGUUGACAAAUGGCUGUCUGCAGUCGACAAAAUGAUCCUUGAACAAGUAGAGAAAGUGAUGCAAGAUGAAGAAAGAGCAAAGAAAAAGUGUUUCAUUGGUUUGUGUCCUAAUUUCAGGACUCGUUACAAGCUUAGCCUGAAAGCUGAAGAGGAGGCAAAGGCUGUUGCCGAGCUACUAGAACAUGGCGAGUUUGAAAGGGUUUCCUAUCGGGCAGCUCCGCAAGGUAUCGUGGUUGCACCAGUUAAAGGCUAUGAGGAAUUCGAGUCAAGAACGUCGAUUUUGAACGGAAUAAUGGAGGUACUAAAAGAUGAUAGCGUCAGCAUUGUUGGGGUGCAUGGUACGGGUGGGAUUGGAAAAACAACGCUGAUCAAAGAAAUCGCUAGAAAGGUCAAGGACAAGUUGUUUGAUUCGGUUGUCAUAGCAACCGUAACUCAAGCCAUCGAUAUUGAGAAGAUUCAGAACCAAAUUGCAGACUUCUUGGGCUUGAAAUUUGAGGAGCAGAGUAUGGUUGGAAAGGCAUUUCGACUACGAGAAAGAUUGAAGAAAGAGGAGAGGAUUCUGGUUGUCUUGGAUGACAUUUGGGAAAAGGUUGAUAUUGAGGAAGUAGGGAUUCCUUUGGGAGAUGAACACAAGGGCUGCAAAUUACUACUAACUUCUAGAGAGUUCAAUGUUUUAUCAAAUGGGAUGGAUGCUCAGAAAAACUUUCACAUUGGGUUUUUAAAUGAAAAGGAAGCCUGGGACCUGUUCAAGAAGAAGGCUGGCGACUGUGAUGAAAGUUGUGAUUUGAAGCCUAUAGCUAUGGAGGUAGCCAAAAAAUGUGCAAGACUGCCGAUAGCCAUUGCGACAGUUGCAGGGGCUUUGAGAAACAAAAGAUUGUUUGAAUGGAAGAAUGCUUUACGAGAACUGGAGAGGCCUUCGUCAACCAACUUCACGGGGAUAGCUGCGGCAUAUUCAGCCAUAGAGUUGAGUUUUAAUUAUUUAGAAAGCGAGGAAGUUAAACUGACUUUCUUGCUUUGCAGUGUAAUAGGCCAUAAUGGUCUCGUUGAGGACUUGGUAAGAUAUACUCUAGGUUUGGGUUUAUUUGAUGGUGUCAACACUAUGGAAGAAGCUAGAAAUAAAGUAUUGACGGUUGUGGCUAAUCUCAAAGCGUCUGCCUUGUUGCUUGAUAGUUAUAAUGAUAAGCACUUUGAUAUCCAUGAUGUUGUUUGGGAUGCUGCUAUAGCUAUUGCAUUGAAGGACUACCGUAUGCUUGUUUUGAGAGAUCAUGCUCCAAAGGAGUGGUCCGAUAAGGAGAAAAUGAAGACGUGGUGUGUGAUCNNNNNNNNNNNNNNNNNNNNNNNNNNNNNNNNNNNNNNNNNNNNNNNNNNNNNNNNNNNNNNNNNNNNNNNNNNNNNNNNNNNNNNNNNNNNNNNNNNNNGCUUACGUUGUCCUCAGAUUAUAGCUAACCUUCCUAAGGAGAUGGAGUGUUCAGGACUUUCCUUCUUCCAUAUGGCCUAUGAUGGCGCGGUUAAAAUUCCUCUCAAUUUCUUCAAACAAACCGUUGGCCUCAAAGCCUUAGAUUUGGUCGGAAUGCAGUUUCCAUCCCUCCCUGAAUCA